CUCAACUGCGGGCUUUACAGCGGUUUGGAUAUCCACUUUUCUAACUCUAACCGGUGGCGCAGAAGCAAAAACGGGCACUGAGGUUCUGAUUGUGACAGGUGGUGCAAUUCUCACGGGUGGUGCAGUCCGCAUCAGCGAUGGGACAUACGCAGAAGAAGGUAGCUGAGUGUUGUUUGUACAAGGUGGAGGAGGCAUUGGAGGUGCAGAGAAGACUGGUACAGCAGUUCUGAUUGUGACAGGUGGAGCCAUCCCAUGGCAUGGUGAUCUUAAAUGCCUCAUAGGAACAUAAGGAGGUGGAGCUGCUGUUCCUGGGUUUGCAUAUCUCUGCUGAGGCCGCUGGUAGCUGCGGCUUUCCAAGGCUGCUGCCAUAAUUCUGUCAACACCGGCAGGUGUUGCUAAGGAUCGGCUGCUUCUAGAAGGUUGUUUUGGGCAAAUAAAUGGUAAGAUUCUUGAUGUGGUUGCAGGAGAAGGCUGUGGACUUGUUGGUCUAGGAUUGUGCAAAUAGAACUUCUUGGCAAAUGGAACCGGGGCAGUUGAGGAGCUUCCCGUGCCAAUAUUUUCCUUGAUUCGAUAGUUUAUCAAGGCUCUUGCUAUGAUCACCUGUUCUAGUUCGUCAAUGUUCUCAGGCUCAGGCAUUGAACUUGAUGUUUCUUUUGCCACUGUAACCAAGAUGAUCAUAAAACAUCAAACAAGUCGCACCACGUAAGGAGAGGUUACUUUUUCAACAACACUUUCAUUAAAGUAAAACCAUACAAAAACUGGAGAUAUCAGGUGAGAAGGAAAGACUCACAUUGUUUUAGGGAAGACCAAGCAGCCAUAGCAGCAUUCUUCUCUGCUUGUUUUUUGUUCUUAGCUGGAUCUCCAGUGAAUGUAAUUCCAGCCAAUUCUACAGUACCAGUAAACACGGGUUGGUGGCCAAGACCAGACCUGAAGGUUGUAUAUCGCGGUAGAGGAGCUCCCACUCUCUGAGCUAUUUCUUGCAACAGAUUCUUGUACACACCUGUCUCAUCCUACACAGUCAAGAGCCAGGACAAGCAUGAUCAGUCACGCAACAACAAAAGUAUCAAAACCAGUUCAACAGAAGGAAGCAUGCAUCCAAAGAUCAAAAGAGUUCAUAGCUCUCUACUCUUAGAUUCCCUAAUCAACCAAACACAUGAAUGGGCAAGAACAAGAUUCAAACUUUUGGAUCCGUAGAUCAUUAACUAAUCUAAAGCAUCAGUGAACGAGAUGACCCAGAAACCCAAACCCCUAACUAAACUACUCAGAGAUCUCAGCACCGACCCUAAUAACCUAACCACAGACUUAAACCCCAUCACUAGCCACCUGAAACAACUAAAGGAAACAUGCAAAUUCAACACCAAAAAGCUCAAAAUUUUCCAAAUUAGAAAUGCCAAAAAAUGGCAAGUCCAAAGAGGGUAAGAAGAGAAAAGCAAAAACUAACCAAGAUCCUGGCGGCAAGAGAGUGAGAAGGACCACGAUUAGAGAGGGCAUUGAGAGCAACUUCAGCAGCAGAGUGCUCAGCUUGACGAAGAGUAGAACAGUACUGAGGACUCUCAAAGAUCUCGCCAUUAAAGUUAACCGUAGCCUUGAAUCGCGGCGCGUGGUCUGGACCUUCCCUAAUACAAGUAUACGAAGGAAGACAAAAGCAGCUCCUCUGCGCCAGCUCCUGUAGCUGGUUCUUAUACAUUUCUGCCAAUUUCCAAAAAAAAAACAAAAACACCAAACACAAAAUAAACUCCAAUUUCGGAGAGAUCAAAGCUUCGAUUUUUUUUUAGGGCUUUUCCCCCAUUUCUUCGACUCUAUCUCUCCCAAUCAUCUAAAAUCGUACAAGGGUUUGCUUGGGGAGUGAUUAAGAAGCCAGGUUUGGUCGCGAACGAGGUUGAAGAUGAUGAAAUCGGAGGAAAUUUAGGGUUUUUGCAGAGAGAGAAGAGAGAAGAGAGAGAGAAGAGGAAGAGGAAGAAGAGAAGGAGAGAGAGAGAGAGAGUGUGGGGUUUUUGCUUUAAUGGAAAAAAAAAUAAAUGUGAGAAUUUAUUAUCUGCUUUUAUCGCUGCUAGUCAACUGAACGUUAGCCUGCAUGGAUGUGAUAUAUAUAUUUUAUAUUUCUCUCUUUUUAAUUAAUAUACAAAUUUUGUAUGUAUCUUAAAAUUAAACUCAAUUUUACAAUACAAUAUCAAGUUGAUUAAUGAGAUUAAUUACUCCCAAUAACAUUGACGAAUUUAGAGUUAGAUUUUCUACAUCUAAUCCUUUUCCUAAGGUUUAACAAACAAAAAAUUAAAAACAAAUUAUGUUAACCAAAUGACUUAAAUUAUCUGGUUUAGUACUAUUUUUUUUUUAAAUUACAUUAAAUUUAUGGAGAAAACAUUAAAAUAGAAUUAUGGAAAACUAAAACGGCAGAAUCCGUAGUUACAUACGACUAAAACGGUCGAAUUUGUAACAAUACUCUAAGAAAAACAACUAAAGUAAAAGUAGAAAAUUGUGUAAUAUAGUAUGAAACUAUAAGAUAUUCUAUUUAUUCUCAGUAAGUUUCCAAUAGCUAUUUAAGUUUUACAAAAUAAUAUUUUUAAUUUUUUUUUUGAGCUUGUAUUAAUCAUAUAUGGUUCAUUAAGAACUAAGAAGUGUUAGACCGCACAAUACUCUUCAGUUAUGUGCUACGUUGUAAUUAGAAAUAAAGGUCAAACAAAAUCCGUAAAAUCCGCAAAAGUUCUCAUUCAAUAUAUGUUAUGGUUUUAAAAAUUUUAAAAUAUAUAUAUAAAGAAAACGAAACGGCAGAAUCCAUGGUAACGUCUGGCAAAACGGUCGAAUUCGUAACACCACCCACAAAAAAAACAUUCUUGGUCAUAUCUUUUUGGUCAUCACAUGAUUCACCUCUCAAGAACAUACUUUUACUUCUUUGGCAUUCAACUAUUUAAUGAUUCAUGGAGAAAACAAAAUUACAUCACAACAUCCAGCAAAACCAAGUCCCUAAUUUUCAAAAUAACUAACCUCACUAUUCAAAAUAAUUUUUCCUUGUUAUACAAACUUUUUAACAUACAACUGAUAGAUAAGCUAUAACCAUGGUUCCACGAGACUUCAUUCUAAUGGUGAUUCACCUACCAAAUGCACUUCGUUUUUUCUCACUACCAAUGGAAAGUUGGGUUCAAUUUUUUCUAUAUUUCUAUAUUUUCUAUGUUCAGUAUUUUAUUUAUUGCUCACUACCAUGGUCUCCAAUUUUUUUUUUCUAGUAUGCAAUUUAUGUCAACAAAAUAGAUUUCUUAAUUUUCAUUUGGUUUUACUAUACUCCAGUUUUACUACUAUGCUUGCAAUGUAAUUUUCAAAAAUUUGGAUAGACUCUUUGUUAUUAGAUGUUGUUAAUUAGAGGAUUUCCGGCCGAUAUUUUAUAAUGUUACCAAAUCUCACCAAGAUUAGAUAGUUAAAGCAUUUUAAAUGUAAUUAAGUUCAAUUAAUGUAGAAUUAGACUUUUGACAUCUUGAGAGCCAAAUUUAAGUAAUGCAUGCUUUGUAUCUGUUUGAAUAUAUGAUUAAGUUAUCGCAUUUAGUUCUUGAGAUCUUGCUAUGUCCGGAUGCAAGUAGAUGCAUUCACAUGUUUGUUAAAAUCAUAAAUGUAAAACAUAUCCUUGGAUGCACAAUGAUUCAGACGGUUUUGCAAGAAAAUGACAUAAUGUACCAAAGUAGUCGACUUGCUCUACGAAAAAUCAAAUAUCUUGAAAAGAUACCAUAAACAUAUUACGCGCAUUUCUAAUUCUUUAGAUGAUAAAUAUAAACACAACCACAUCCAUUAAAUCUUUACAAAAUUCACACGUUGAUAUCGUAGGGUUACCAAAAUUUUACAACCAUAUUUUUGCUCGAAGCACUUAAAAACUAAAAUUGAUUGAUAUGAGUGGAACUGGGAUACAAGAGCUACCACACUGGUUUGCUCUUCUAAAACCUAGAAAACCAAGGAGUGCAUAUCAAUGUAUAAGCAACGAAAAAAAAUGUUAAUAUACGAAAGCAAUAAUGGACGAAAUAUUCAACAAAUAGUAGAAAAAAUAAAAGUAAUAAUCUCCAACAAAAAGAAAUAUAAAAAUGAGUAAAAAACAAAAAACAAAAUACUAGAAAACAGCUUGAAUCCUAAGAAGUUAGUGCAUAUUUUAUUUUCAUAUAUUAAAAUUAAAUGUUCACACAUCUCUAAAGAAUAAAUUUAGCUUUUGAUGAAUUUUUGAAAUCAUGUCCACACAAGUCAAUGGGUGGGAGAGAGAGGAGAGAACAAAUGAGAAUUCGUGAAAUUACCGAAAAGCCUAUUUUGGUUGAGAGAGAGAGGUUAGUAAAGAUAAGGGGCAGUCACGUAAUAAAACAGUUUGAGUGUUUUGCAGUAGUAAAAAGUGGAUUUCAUAAUCAUAGUUAAGCUUAGUGGCCAACAUUUACUUUUAAAUUCGUUUUUCUUUUUCGUUUGUAAAUUUAAUCUCCCAACGUUGAUGAAGUUUGACUGAUCCAUCACACAUAUUUUGUAAUAAUCCUUUUUCUUAUAGCAUUAACUAAUUUUAUGGAACAAAUAAAAUUUUAUUUACAAACAUUGAGUAUUCUUUCUUAUUCAACUUUAGGUUUUUUUUUUAAAUAAGAAAUAAUUGGGACACAAUGACAUAGUAACUUGUGACGUAACUAGAAACACAAUGGUUAGACUAUGUAAAUCAGUAAAUGUAAAAUAUGGUUACACAACAUAAUUUGCACACAAAUAGUGAACUAUUGCAAAUUUGCAAUGCUUAGACUCUCUUAAAUAUAUUAACCCUGGUAAAAAUGGUAAGAGGAUGAGAAUACUUAUAAUUUAAUGACGAAUUAAAUAUGUAUUUACGUCGUAAUUAAUGUGUAACUAUAUAAGUAUAUAACUAUACUUGGUAAUUAAGUACAUUUACUUCGUUGUCAUAAUAUAUUAUUAGUGAACAGGUGCAUUUAAGCAGAGCAUUUAAUUAGAAACACUGUAUUAAAAAAAAAAAACCUUUUUCAUCCGUAAUGUCUAGAGAAGAUAAAACAAAUUUCAGAUUUUGUCUGAACCGAGCAUUAAUCUUGAUUUCUUCUUGGAUUCCCUUUUAGAUUUUAAGUCAAUCCUAAUAAAUAACUAGCAUCACAUAUUUAAAGCAUUCAAAUUAUAUAAAAUAAAAUAAAAUAAACCUUGUCAAGUAUAUUUUAAAUGAACCAAACCACUGAAUUAAAUGUUAUAAUGUUAUAUAAAUCUAGUACUACAUCUAUCUGUUUUGGAUUGCAUUAACAACAAUACAAUUGAGUUUUUUAAACAUCACAAUGUGUUAAAAAUAAAUAUAUAAUAAUAUUAUCUCAUAAUUCCCUUAAUUAUAUAAUUAUUAUUUUAAUUAGAAGAAAAAGAGAUGAAAAUUAAGAAAAGAGCAUCAGAGUGAAAUGGGGCAUUUAAAAAAUGAAACCACAGAAAAAACAUAACAACCAACUCUUUUACUACACCAACUACUCUCUAGUCUACAUCUUUCUUUCCAUCAAAACCUUAAAAUAAUUUGCUCUCUACAUCAUCUCAGUUUUUGACUAUUCAAGCUUAAUUAAUAAUAACAAUAAAGGCAAUUGAAAUAGCUUUCUCUCAAGGGUUUCUUCUUCUGGGGUACAAUUUUACAUUACUGCCUUAUUAAGGUGGGUGGUGCCUAGGCACGAUAUAGGGGUCAAGAUAGUAGAAAGAUCAAAACGUACAUUUAUAUAUAUAUAUUUAAGAGUGAAUAGUAGAAAUGUCAUCACCAAGAGAAAGGGCUAGCUCCUUGCAAGAACACUUCAUUCUCCACAUCUUUUACCCUUUGGCAAACCUGAUUGCAUGUCUUUAUCGCCAUCGCCUGCCAUAUGAUUUUCAUCGAUAUCGAUAUCAAAGAUCUGAUUUACGCUAUUCUUUGACUUCAUAGGAAAGUUUUUAAUGAAUCUCACCUUGUCUGCAAGUGGAUCAAAUGCUGCAUAGAGCUCAAAAUCUGGUGUGACCCAACAUAGAAGAGCUGUAGUAAAAAAGAUUUGUUAGUUUUUCACAACAAAAAGGAUUUUCAUAUUUUCGUAAAACAUGUGUGCAUAUUCGAACUUACUGUAAUUCUCGUCUCUUCUAUAUUGAGUCUUGUGGGGUCCCAAUCCUUUGUCAUGCAUUGAAGCGUAAAGUUUCUGGUAUGCUCGAAAUAGACUGCAACAACACAACUACUACAUCAGUACUUUUCAAUUCCACGAACUAACUAUUUGGUUUCCCAAUGUUGAUUCAUGACUUUACCUUUUUUGUUGUCUGUGACUAGUUACGGGGGGUGAGAGUUCAGAGGAAAUGUAUUGAUCUAAGUAUAUACUACGGUACAUGAAAUGCCAAAUUCCAAAGGGACCUCCCGUCCCCACAGAAACCUCGGGACCAACUGUAUCUUGUCCCUGAUCAGUAGUAGAUGAUCGCCGCCUACGGUCUAUUGGUAAAUCUUCAACACGCAUUCCACCUUCUGCGAUGGAUCUUUGAACCACACUAAGAAUAUUUGACUUGAGGAGAACAGCCUCAAGGCGAAUCCUAACCAUAUACAAGUUUAUGGAACUCAAUAACAUGCUUAUUAACAAAUUUUACCAUGUAAGAGAACACAACUAUCUUCAAGUAUGAAAGCUAUUUUUACCGGCAAUCUUUGAGAUGAUGGAAGGCAUCUGAACGCGUGGUAAGCAAUAUUACAUAUGUAUCAUCCUGCAUUACCGAGUACAUUAAUACUUUCACAUUGUGCACUGUAGAUGAGUUUUACAAGUAUUUGACUCACAUCAAAGAAGUGGACAUAGGCAUGCAAAAAGGCCUGAGAGUUGUAUCUAGGUAGGCAGAUUGGUGAGAAAGAUUCUGAUGUCCUGUUAGCGGAGAGGAAGCUGUGAGAACAAGCUACACAAAACAUGUGUAUAGUUCACUGUGGGUACAUGAACAAAAUAUUUAGCACUUGCCUGAAUGAUUCUGAUGACAUGACAAAAUUUGAGAGUAAAAGCAAGUCAUCAGGAUGGAGAGACGCUUUCUGUGCACCAGCAAGACUGACAACCUGAAAGUCAUACAAACAGUCAUCAACUAUGAUGGAUUUCCUAGCUACAAGACUUUGACUUUUUGAACACGGGGGUUUACCUUGUGUUUGCACAGUAGUAGUGAGAACAAGACACCAGAUGCACAAAUUUCUUGCAGUACGGUCCCCGUAGCUUGCCUUAACGCAUAUGGAAGGGGAAGACAAGUAUAGGCAUGAAGAAAUGUAGCUGGGUUCCUAAAAAUGGGAAAAUCAUCUCGAAGAUUAUUAUAACUUUUUUACCUGAAGCGCAGAGGUAGACCAAAAAGAGAGAAGAUGUAAUGUGUAUAGCAACAGUUCUACAUCUGUGGGAAGGAUAGUAAAUAGACUCUAAAAACUAUAUAAAUCUUAAAGGCUUGUACUUUAUACGUAGAUAUUGUAUUAUAUACUUUGAUAAUAGUUGGAAAUCUUCAUCUUCCACCAAUAAUCUCUUAUUACUUUAUGUUAAAAAUAUCUUCAAUUAUAUUGUUAAAGAGUUACGAAUUAGAGACAAACCAGCUAAAAGAAUGGACAAGAGAUGAGAAGACAGCUUCUGUCCCUCCAAGCAAGGGUGUCAUAUCAAACUUUGCAUUCUUCUCGAAACAUCUGUCUAUGGACUUUGUUAAAAUUAGUAUCAUCUGCAUCACCAUUAUUGCAUUUUGGUUAUUUAAAUCGCACACUCAAACAUGAAAAUUUUCAAAAGAAAGGAUACACAGCAGUGUAUUGUUACCUGACCAUAUAGAAGAUCCAACUGCCCCCUUAAAUAUUCAUACGUUUCAUCUGUACAGCUUAUGCAGACGAGGUAUAUUGGCCCCUUCACCAGAAAGACAACCUGAGUUUCACCAGGACAUCUCAUUUUAAAAUGUUUGUAAUCUCUUAUCAACAGUGAUUUUAAUCAAUAAUCAGACAUGACAUCUCUCUAAUUAAUAUCUCCAUGACAGUGUAAGCAAAUGAAACACUUUGCUUGCUGAGAUUUAAUGAAGCAGUGUAUCUAGUGGUAAACUAUUAUAGGCACCACUGCCAAGCUGAGUAAUUGAGAGUUAAGGGAAAUUUUAAUACCUGGUGUUUUCCUGCCUUGACUAAAUUGACACGGUCACCACUAAAAUAAACAAUGGGUUAGGCAUCAAACAUUAAAGACAAAAAUAACCAUAAAGAAAAAUUCAGCAGACAAAGCUAGUGCAUAUUUUACCCAUUCUCCACAAAAGAAAUAAUAGCUUGAAGAGUAGCUGAGAAUCCAGCAAGCUUAUGUUCAUCUCCAUAUCUAAAAGAUACAAUGAUUAAAAAAAGAAAUGCAACAAGAAUAAAUCAGUUAAAACGAUAAAAUCCACACUACAGCCAUUCGCUAUCUGGUGAUUCAAUAUGAAGAAAUGGCUAAACCUGGAAUAUAUCGGUUUGCCAGAGUUACUCAAUAUGAAAAAAUGCUUCUUCCUCUUUCUCCAUGAAAUAGAAGCAUCAUCCUGCGUUUUUUAUAUUAAAAGUGUGUUCUCAGAGUUCCAUCUACUGCUGAUGAGAAGAUAAUCACUAUUGAUCAGUUUCGCAUGCAUAACUCCCUAAACAUUUUCCACAGUUCUGACAUUGAAUAAAUUCCACAGCAUUCUUGAUCAACUAAGUCCUCGUAUGCAAGAUCACAAUUUAUCAUGAAUGUGACACUAAAGAACUCAAAAUCCAACAAUCCAUGGCGGAAACUGAAUACUGUCGACAACUAUGACUCUGGGCGCAAAUUCUUGAACUGAUCUUGUAACCUAGAACUAGAGUUUAAGGAGCUAUAUAUAAAACUGACCUCAUCAACAUGGCGUUUUCCAGGCAACCAAGCCGCUUCAUGCUGCGAGGCAGUGUCACCAUCCACAUUAGCUUCCCGAAUCUCAUCCUCACUAGCAUCAUCAGCUUUAUAAGUAGAGGUAGCUCCGCCGCUACUCCCUCUCUCUCCAUCAUAACCGCUACUAGUCGGACUCGGCGGCUCUUCCCCUGCUUCCAUUUCCACGGGAUUCUCCGCCCUUAACGACGCAUCUAUCUCCUCUCCUCCGCUAGCUCCCGCCACAACUUCAUGCACUAAACCACCAUUGAUAACUCCGCCUUCGUUCCCGUUGGCCGAUGCAACCUCGUCUUGAUCAUCGCCGCCGCUGUAAUCCGUGCGAGUGCUGCCAUCGGAUACUUCGCUAGGUUGAGACAAAUUCAUUGACUCUAAUUGACUUUGAACACGCUCCGAAUUCGUCUCUGGAUCGGUACUAGGGUUUGGAUCGGCGAAUUCGGUGCCUGAUGAUGAUGAUGAAGGUGAAGAGCUCGAAUCUGAAGUCGCCAUUGCUGAAAUCGAAUCGAUAGAGAUAUUUUUUCAACGGAGAGGAGAGGAAUUUGAUGGUCUCCUCCUUUAAUGGCAAGUCGUGUUGUUCAUUUGCUUCUCUGCGAAUUUCACUUUGUCCACUCGCAUCGAGGAGGAGGAGGAUGAUUCACGAUUUCUCCAACGGAUCCACCGAUCCUGGUUUCAAUUGGAUAUAUUCGACCCGCUUCAUGACGCGUCUCGUUGGGCUUUUUCGCGAUUAGAGAGAGAGAGGUUCGGAUCUCAUUUACUUAUUAUGGGCCUUGGGCCUAUUUUGAAAUAACGUCAAAUACGUUUUAUGUUUCCAUAAGUUAUACACUAGGAGAACAAAACACUAGGAGAACAAAACAAUAUGGUUAUAUUUUUUUUUUUUUUUUUUUUUUUUUUUGAUAAACCCGAUCGGCUGAUCAGGUCAGCUCUGGGAGGAUCACACCGAAGUGCUACAAUGUGGACUCGUCGCCAAUACCUAGGUGUUGGGCUACCACAUCGCCUGAAUCCAGAUUAACGCUUUCCGACUAAUGCUCGGGGCUAAUCAGGCCGCCUGCAUUUCUGAUUACCAGGUAAACCAAUUGAACCUAAGCUCAACUGACAGACUUCCCACAAAGAUGAUGUUAACAGCAAAGUGGAGAAUUGAACCCAGGUUGUGGGAGUUGCACCCUUCCUCCAAGCUCCCCUACCACUAGUCCACCACCUCUUGGGCAAUAUGGUUAUAUGUGACUUGUUACACUAGCAAAGUAGCAAUAUGAUCAUAUUGUGAGUAAAAUCAAUGUUGUCACUAUAAUGCGGAUCUUUCUCAUCAUUCAUGAUCGCAACACGAACGCUCAAAAAUUUCCAACUACGACCGAUCAUUCGAUUUCUAAUCUCUCGACGGUUCGAUCUAUUAAUAAAGUCUUUUGCAGAUGAAGGAACUUCACAUUCUAAGAAAUGAGAGUCUUUUUGUUUACUUUUUAUGGUUGGGCCAAUAAAACUCAACAUUGACUUUCACUUUCUCUAUUGGUUUUGAUUGCUUCCAUUUGACCAAAACCUUUAUAUAUCUCUUUUCUAUAGUCAAUAUUUUGGAAAUGUGAGGGAUGCAUAAAUAUUGUAAACAAAACACGUGAAAGAGACGUACUUAAAAUUGUCAUAACAGCCGAUGAAGUCUUUUAUUAUUGGAAAAAGACAAAGAAAAGAAUAGUGAGAAGAAAGAAAGACAUUUAAAUUUGACAUUUUGUUAAUUUGGAUUGUAGCGAUAAUAAUAUAUAUAUAUAUAUACCAAUUUUAUUAUAAUCGUUUUCGUCGAUUAGGUAAAAGCUAAAAAAAACUAGAAGGAGGAAAAAGACAAGAGUGGAAUAAAUACGACAAGACCAACGCACAUAAAACGUCGAACGACUCGACUUUGUUUCAUAUGUUCGGUUCGGUCAUCACUUACGUUGAGAGCAAAUACUCUUCAAGGAUCAUUUUUUUUUUAAUAAAAUUUCUGAUAAUAUAUAUAACUUUCACGAUUACAUGAAAAUAGAAAAAAAGGUGCCACAACGACAACGAACUCCGGGAUGAACAAACCCGGUACAAGAACUAUAAAGAAGAGGAUACAAUAAAUAUAUAUAAAAAUUAGAGAAAGAGUCCUCUAAACCAUAGAUUAAGCAUGCCUUGGAACUUUGGAAUGUCUUUCCUCGCUAGGCAAGUGUUUCGGAUUCGCCUAUCAAGAAUAGGGAAAAGAGCUUCGACCGGAGUGCGAAUACCGGUAUAGAUGCGAGCAUUUCUUUCAUGCCAAAGAGAGUAAAUAACUGCUUGAGCCAAGAGAAGCUUUAAUGGCGCCAUUUUGGGGUCAUUUGAUGUAGCUUUAAGCCACAUGAGGAACCUAUCCCAGUUGUUGAAGCCUGCGAAUGGGAUCUGAAGUUUUUCAAGACCCCAUCUCCAAAGGUCAUAGCUAUAUGGGCAGGUUAGAAAGAGAUGAUCUCUUGUCUCAAAGUAGAUCUCGCAAAGGUAGCAAGUAUCAUCUUCUAAGAUUCCCCAUUUUCUGAGCCUUGAUAGAGUUGGAAGUCUAUCUAGGCAACUUAACCACAAAAUAAAAGAGUGCUUUGGGAUAGACCCUGAAAACCAGACCUGGUGGUGCCAAGUCACCUCUUGUGAAUGUGUCUUAACGAGCUUCCAAGUUUCAGCGAAAUUGAACUGGUUUCUAGGAUCUCCAUGUGGUCUAGCCCAUAAGUAGGUGUCCUUAACAUCCUCAUUAAUUUCUAUUUCAGCGAGAUGUCUUAAGAGGAGUUCAGUCUCAUUGCUGCGGGCACCUCUAAAGAUCCAUCCAUCACUAGUGCGAGCCUUGGCCACAGUUGAGUCUAACAGGAGACCUAACCUUUGGUGUUCUUAGGGCCUAGGUAAGAAAACAAGUUUCCGAAUGGAGUCCAAUUAUCAAACCAAAAGGAACAAGAUUUACCAUUUCCAACUUUGCAAGAGAGGAAUGUUUUGGCAGUGGAUCUUAGCUUGAGAAGCUGCUUCCACAUUGAUGAACCCUGACUGUUAAUAGAGAGGUUCCAAAAACUCUUCAAGGAUCAUAUUAUUAUUAUUACGGCAUCUGUGGGGGUUGCAGCACUUGAGAGGUACAUUUACCCGAAUAUUUACAGUUUUUGCCACUGGCUUUGUUUACGUUUAGAAAUUGACAUUGUCCAUUACCAAACUAAAUAUGGCCACGAGAGCUUUUGUUUUUUUAUUUUUUUAUACAUACGCAUUCAUUUUCAACCGUUUAUGCAUAUUGAUUAAAAGACGUGCUUUGGAAUUUUAUCUUCAUUGUUGAAAAUUAUAAAACUCAUCUUCUUGUGUUGUUGGUUUAGAAGAAAAUUUUGUUUAUAAUUAGGUUGUUUUACUUAUUAAGAUAUGGUUUGGGAAUAUUAUACUAAUUUGUAGGAAUUUGAGGUUUGCCUUUUACAUCUAUUUGUCAUUAUCAGAACUAAUCAAGAUAUGAGCUGUAUUACUAUAGUAUACAUCGUAUUCGUCUAUCUUUGUCGAGAUGGUACAUGUAACCUAAGAGAUUAGUAUUUAUACCUAGUUACUUAACACACUUGCUUUUCUAGAAAAACUAGUAAAAUAAUAGAUUAGUAUUUAUAUAUGAAGUUUAUGCGAAUAGCAAGUAAACAACUAAUCAAGUGAGUACAAGUUUAUAAAUAUUAUUUAAGUUUUUCAUAAAGAAGAUGAUACAAAUCCGAGACCAGGAAAACCACUAAACUUUAUACUCUUAAGACAUAACCUAACACUUAAAUCUUAGCAAUAUCAUCUCAUGGAUGUGGUUGUCAGUUUGUCACUCUCUUUACACUUUUCAAAACGUUAUCUCGUUACAGCCUAGAAACCAAUCUUUGGAAGACAUCACAUCAGUAUUCCAAAUGAUUUCGGCAUCUCUCGUGGUGUAUAGCUUUUGUUUAUUUUUCUGAUCCGUGGUGAUGAUCUCUCGAAAAUGGCUAAGAAUAAACAUAAAAUGCGAAUACUAAUUAAUUGAAAUUCUACAUGGACACAGUUUGUAUUCCAAAAUUAGUAAAUGAUUCAUUUAAUAUUUUUAAUAUAUACUUAAAAAGUUUGAAAUGAUUAUAUAAAAUUAUUUCAUUGGUUUUUUUUACUAGCUUGUGUCACAAAUUAAUAUAAUUUUAAAUUUCUCCUUAUAUAUGGCUUGAAACUAGCUAGAGCAUCGAUAACGUUUUUGACAUUGGAUUUAAUUGUAUAUUAAUUUUACUUGUAUAGUACUCUGCCAAGUGUCAUGUAUUGUUAAAUAUAUGUUGGUACCUUACACAAUAAUUCAAAACUUUAAUAGAACAAGUGUUACAAGUUAAAACGUAUAACAUCGAUUUUGUAUUGUUUAAAUAUAUUCCUUUUUUGUAGAUAUUAUAAAUAAUAGAAACUACCGAAAACACAAUUUUUAGAUUACACCUGAUAUAUCUUGAAAUGUAUAAAACAUAAUAUUUGUGUUCGAUCGAAUUUUUUAUUUUAUUUUUUUCCAACUUCUCAAAUCUGAUACAAAACAUAUACAUAUAUAUAUAUAUAUAUAUGUAUAUAUAUAUAAUUAUUGAAAAUUUGUUAUUUUAGGUACGAGAUCUAGGUUUUUGAUAUAUAAUUAAUAAGAACAUCGACCUAAUAGAGUAAUUGUUACGUCAAUGCAACGUUAAAAGUUUUUAAUAUGUGUAACUAAAUUAGUUAAUUUAUCUAGAUCUUAUCCAAACAAGUGAUCUAUCCACAUAAAACGCCUAACAUUAUGUUGUGCGUACUCGAUCCAAGACAUUUAUCCAAUAUUAUUAUCCUCAUGGUCUACUUCAUUUACUAGUAAAAUUAUUAUAUAACUAAACAUCUUAAAAUCAUAUAAUAAGAAUGAACCAACCAGAUUUGUUUGUUACACUAUAUACACAAUUACGAAUAAUUGGAUUAGCUGAUAAGAAUUAAAAGAGAGAGAGAGAGGAUCGAAACAUAUGCCGACCAAACACUUGUAUGAUUAAAGACAACGCACCAUGUCUCCAUCUGUCAAAUAAUCCCAAAUUCAUAGCCACAUGAUUAACUAAUAAUUAGUAUAUUAAUCCUUUUGUUAGCAAAUAACAAUCAUAGUCAUUGUAAAUUACCUCUCGUUGACGAUUAUAUAUUGUUCUUACAUAAACAACUAAAUUAUAAACCAAGGGGAGAUAGAAGAAUCUAAUUUUUACAACUAUAAAAAUAAGUUGACGAAUAAGAGUAAAAAAAAAAAAAAACAACAAAGAAAUACCAAGUCAAAUUUCAUAUUUGGUGUCUCAAAAUUUCAAUACAAUCUUAAAGUAAAUAAAGAAAACAAAAUGUGAAUCAAGAAAUAACAACUCUUACAAAUUCCGAAUUUAGUCCCUCAUAUUUUUUUAUAUGUAGUAACCCCCCCCCCCCCCCAAUUUUCACUAAAAAGAUAAAAUUAAUCUUCGAUCCCUCUAAUUUUAAAAAUAGUAUUACGAACCCUACUCAGAUCUCUUCCUUUCAAAGUCCUACCAGCACCUUCAUGAACCGAGAACGAAGCCAUUCUCCGGUUAGCUAUCAACUCAUGCGGCGGAACACGCCGUGCACAUCCCUCUUCUUCUUCUUCUUCUUCUUCUUCUUCCUCAUGGCUCUGUCUUUUACUCUCUUCACCAAGAAUCUUUGACCAGUCCGGUACGUUGACCGGUAAAGAAGACGCAGCAGCUUUCCGGUUAGUUUUGGUUCGACCGGAAGUGAUAGUGAGAUCACUAAAGGUGAAACUAGGAGAGGAAUCAGAACCGGUGGUGGUGUUGUAAAGAUCCCAUUCGUCUAGCUCGAAAUCGGACGGUGCGGUGGUGGUGAUGACGUGUUGGUCGUUGGUGAAGAAACGGUGGCUUGGUCGUUGGUAGUAGCACUUGCUCGUCGCCAUUUUCAAGAAGAACAAGAAAGAAGAAGAAAUGAAACUAAAACUCUUUUUUUUUGGGUUUAGUUAUAAAAAAAAGGUUUUUAAAGAUUCGUUCUCUUUUGGCUUUGGUUGCUUUGUAUUUAUAUAUAAAGAGGAGUUAGCUUGGUGUAAAGGUUUAAAGGUCAAUGGAUAAGAGUUUUCAACACCUCUCCUUCGUGUUGUAAAUUUUUCUUGAUGGACUCACAUUUUUCUGUGAAAUUACUUAUAUGCCCUUGGAAAUUUCGUGGAAGUUUAAAAUUUUUUCUUUUUUCUUUUUUGCGGUGUGUUUUUAUCCAAAGGAAAUGAUGACUGUCAACAGAUUAGGGUUAUUCAAUUUUUCAAAGUCAUACACGAAACCCAUAAAAUGAUUAUAAAGAAAACAGAUUAGGGUUAUUCAAUUUUUUUCUUUUUGGAAUAAUAAUAAUACUGUGAAUAUUUGAAUCAUGUGUUAAUUAGUAGAACUUAGAAGUACAGAGUUUAUUAAACGUUUCUUCGAGUUUUCGUAGGAUUAUAAAUUGGAAACAUGUAACUCUUGUAAUGGAUCAUAUGCGACUGAAUGAAAUAGUUUGAUUUCGUCGAUACAUUGGGGUUUCACUUUUCAGACGUCCAAAGUCACAAGUUUUAUAUUUCCAUGGAUUUUAAAGUCAAUGUAAUAGUAUCUUCUUCCUUACUUUAAAAUAGUGAUACUUUUUUUUGUUCUUUUUUCGAAACAGAAUUAUAGUUUUCUUUUGUCGAAAAAAGAAUUAUAUUAAUUUGAAAUGUUAUUACAAGGGAUACUGGUAGCUAAAACAUGAGCAACUUCAUUACAAUGAAGAAAAAACGAAAAUAAUGAUCGUUACAAACUUUUUCCUUUUCUAAAAUAAAUAACCCAGUAAACAACUAAAAAUGUAAUAAUAAUUAACCAAACAUCUCGAUAGCAUAAAAUGUAAGUCUGCUAUAAAGAAUCAAUAAGGCGAAAAUGUAACUCUAAACAAACAUGUUUUUUCAUUCUUCUCAAUGUACAUGUUUUUUUUUUUUUUGGUAACAAUGUGAAGAUUUAUACUAGUUUUGAAAGUUCUGACAGAAUUACAAAGAAAACACGAAAAUGGAAAAACCGAAAACUACAGAAACCACUAAAUAUACAACACAACACAAAUAGAAAUUCGGGAGAAAAACAAGUGAAACACUAUAAACAGAGAUCCAAAAAGAAACACCGAAUCCGAACAAAGUUCAGAAAUUUUCUUCUUCUCAAUGUAGCAUGUUCCAUUGAAAGAUGUAGUAGUUUCACUUUCAUAAUCUAAUAUUAGAUAUCGUACAAAAGAGUACCUAGCUAGUUUAUGAUGAUCUUCAUUAGUGUUAAUCAACUUAACGAGUUUUAAAUCAUCUCCUUCAAACCAUAUACUGCAUUAUAUUGAUUCCUUAUGCCCACACCAGUUAAAGUAUAGUAAACAAUAUCAGUUAGAUUUUACCAAAUAAUAAUUGUGGUUUAAAUAAAUACUUUUAUUCUAAUUAAUUGAAUCACUAUUUCAAUUCUAAAUAUACAAUCUUAUUAACUUUUUUUUUUCUUUCUCUUUUGUAUGUUUUAUAUUUGUUUAUUUAGUGGUCAAUUUUUAUGUGAUCUAUAGAUAUUAAAUUGAAAAUUUUCGACAUUUAAAUAUAGUAGAUAAAUUUUUAAUAUUAAAACAAUACAACUAAGUAAAGUUCUUAAAUUAGAUCCCAAAACUUUAAACUAAUUAAAAAACUCGAGAGAGUGUAUAUAAUUUGAUUCAACAUCGACGUUAAGUAACAAAAUAAAUUUGUUUACACGUGUUGACAUAACACAAUGACCACGUAAUCUCCACUCACGAACACAAGUCACUAUCCGAACAAUCCAAGAAAGGUCGAAACUGUAAAAUCCCUCCAAGUGAAUGAGAUAGGAAGAGAGGCCAAUGUCAUCGUACGAUGUCGAUGAGAUGAAGAGAGGUGUGUCGUGUGUGUGUUGUUCUGUCUUCAGCUUAUCCCAAAACCUGACAAAACAAAAGUUUCAAUCUCUAAAUAACGUCUGUCUUAAUCUCAAAGGAUAGCUAGAAGACAAUAUACGAUCAUUCUCAUAAUUGGUCCCAAAUAGCCACGUGGCGGCUUCACCAACGUGAUCCACGUGGAGAGAUGAGCUUUCCGUGUACGACUUGUGUGGCGUGGUGGUGGCACGUGACUGCUCCAACCUUAUUGGUUUAGAAACGACGUCGUUGUCAGGUUCUUCGAAUUACGCAUCCUUCGAUAACAUUUGUUGCUAAACGACGAAAUUGGUUCGUCGGAGGAAAGCAACAUUAAUACCUGAAAAUAACGGCAAGGUGUGUGUAGCUCUACUUGAGAAACGAUAGAGCUUGUUUUUAAAGCAAAUGUUUCUGAAGACCCAUUAGGCCCAGCUCGUUUGAGUACUAGCCCGUUUGGCCCGUUUGGCCCGUUUGGCCCGUUUUGGCCCGUUUACUUAACAUUCUUUUCUUUUUUUUUUAAUAACAAUUUACAUUGAAUUUAUUAAUUUGAUGAAUAAAUUAUAAUUUUUUUUUUGUAAUUUUCAUUUUCGAUGUAUUUCUCUCUUUUUCAAGUAAUCAGUACAUUAUAUUAUUUAUUUUAUUUUCAUGGGAGUUAUUGACGAUAAUAAACACAUUUACUUAGACUUUGAAGAUGUAAUAAAAUUAGAGUCUUCUUUUUUCCCCAAGAAAAGGUAGCUUCAAUGAUGUCAUUAGAUGUAUAUAUUACUACGUUUGAAUCUUAAUAUCAUUAGAUAGUUACAAUUAUGCCAAUCAUUAGGUUAUUAACCCCUGAUUUAUUAUUUUUACUACUUUAUUAUUAAAAAAUCUUAAUAAUGUAAAUUAAAAUCAACAAAAAUAGUAGCAUAAACAAUUCUUAGAAGGGGUGCAAAGACAGGCUCCUACUUUCCUCUUCUUCACGCACAUAGACUCACACUUUUCUUUAACACAAUUGGAUUUUGUCAAAAUCUCACUACAUUGUUUCUUUUGUUUUCCUAGCUCCUCAUUUGCCACCACUCCUGUUACAAUAUUAUGUUUAAAACGCAAAAAUCUUAAUUUGUGUAUCUAAAAUUACUUGUUAUGCAUAGAUACACUUUGAGUUGUUAGAUACGAAUAGUUAUUCUUGAAAAUAAUAUAAGAUUGUAACUUAAUCAUACGAAAUAAUGUGAAAACAUUAAAAAAAUAAUGUGAAAGCAUUAUGCAAAUUUACACACCAGAAUAUGAUAUUACUAUUAAAUAAUAAACUAUAGAUUGAAAUAUUAUCUAUGUGGCACCAAAGGAGGAGAAAUGAUGAUGAGUCAAAGGAAAAUUUGUUAAAUCAAUGUAUAUUAAAAUAAUCUUCAUAUAAUCACACACAUUAAAAAAUAGGAACUAACCAAAAUAUAUGCUUGGGGUUGGUAUUCUAGAUCUAGUACAAAUAAAUAAUCUCCAUUAUUUAGCUAUGUAUGAAAAAAAUCUCUAUUUGAUAUUAUGAAAUUCUUGAUUGAAUAUAUAUUUGACUACAGCUAUUUUCUUCUAUAAAUAUUUUAUGUUAUAUAUAUUAAGAUGAAAAUAAAUGUAGAUACAAACCUAACACAAGAAUGGUGAAGAUAAUCAUAACAGUGAAUGAGAGUUGAAAAGGUUUCUUCAUCAUGAAUAGUUUUUAAACUUUGUAAAAAAGAACAAAAUGAAGUUUUUUGUGUUUUGUUUUCGUUUAACCUUAACAAAAAGUAACUAUAUAUAUUAAGCUAUAUGUGUCUCUGAAUUAAAGGAUCUAGUUUGACCCUAAAGUUUUGUUUAUGAUAGACACAAGCUUUAAACUCGCUUGCGCUAUUCUCCUUCACCAUAAAUAUUAUUUUUAAUUUGAACAAAACAUGUCUCUCAUAUGUUGAUAAAUCAACUUUUUUUUGUGUGUUAUAAGAAGUUGAGACAUCAUUAAAAUUAUAAAUCAACAAAACAAGUAAUACACAUUAGAUUUGAUUAAAGAUUCAAAAAUUAAUACAUAAAGAUUCAAAAAUUAAUACAUUACUAGCUGCAAUUUUUUUGAUGUUUUCUUAUUCAAUAGUUUAUUCUUUUUAUCAUAUCAUACGUAAUUUCAUUUGAAUAUAACACAUAUUUUCAAGGUUUUGAAAGGAAAUAAUUUUUUUUUUUUUUUUCAUGUUGCAUAAUGUUGUGAUAUUGCUUCAAAACAACUACUAUCAAGAGAUUUGAAAUUAUAUUGCCAUAUUUGAUGUUUAGAUUUCAUGAAAUGAUGAAGUAAAGAUCACAUGAUUUUAUAAGAAUAAUAAUCUUAGUUCGAUUCACUGUUGAUGGUUUGUGAGAUUUUAAUAUAUGAUGUAGUCAUAGAUUAAAUCAUAAUUCAUAAAUCCAACAUUAUAGGAAAGAAAUGUUCAACAUUCGUCUCAAUUGUUAAGAGUUCAAGAAUUUUUUUUUAUACAUGAUAGUAUUAUAAUUACUACACUUAUUAACAUCUUAUGCUAUCCUUCAAACUUUUAAGGUAUCUUAUUUCUAUCGAACUAAAGAUUAUUUAGUGAAUGUUCUGCAAUUUGUAUUGAUUUGAAUGAGCAUAUAAGUAAUCCACAAAAAUCACGUGAUCUAUGGAAUUUGGAUCCCUCAUAAGAGAAAAUUCAUGUGAAGUAAAAGCUGAGGAGUGUCACGUUAUAGUACAUGUGAAAACCAAUUAAAAUCCUUACCAACCGUCAAAAACUCUCUUUUCACACAUGAAACUGCAUGAAACAAUUGAUCAAAACUAUGGUAUUUAAUGAAUGAAAAUAAAAUAAAUUCAUUUAUAAAUCUUUUUUUAAGAGAACAAAAUAUGAAACUACGUAAAAGCUAUAAUUCAUGAACACGGAACCCAAAUUGUAUAUUUUGUUACAAAUUACUAAAUGAUUAAUGUACAACUUCUUCUGAUAAUGUCGAAUAUUUUUGACAAAUGUAAGUGUUUGAGAUUAAUAUUAAAAAGAAAAACAUAAUAUGUAAUAAUCAUCAAUGCAUAUUAAUAAAAUCACAAUCAGGAGGGCACAAAUGAAAAUUUUGACACAAUUAUAGGUGAUUAUUUCAUAUAAAAACGCAUAACUAGAACUUAAACGUUACCUAAUGAAAUAUAAGAGAAAUAAAAAACGUAAGAAACAAGAUUCAAUCUCGUGAGUAAAACUCACAAUCAAAAACUCACAAUCACAAUCAAAUAAAUUUUAAAUAUCCUUUUUUUUAGAGAAAAACAUAUGAAACUACUUGAAAGCUAAUUCAUGAAUAGUACUGAACCCAACUUGUAUCUUUUGUUACAAAUUACUAUAUGACUAAUGCAACUUAUUCUCAUAGUGUCGAAUAUUUUUGCCAAAUAUAAGUCUUUGAGACUAAUAUAAAAAAAAAAACAUAAUAUAUAAUCAGUGCAUAGUAAUAAAAUCACAAUCACUACAAAAAUUAACCUUUAUAGGUGAAUAUUUCAUAUAAAAGAUACGCAUAACCUAACCAAAUACUCUUAACAUACCUAAUGAAAAAUUAACAAAACAAAACGUAAGAAACAAGAUUCAAUCUCGUGAGUAAAACUCACAAUCAAAAAUUAGGAAGGCGUGAAGGGAAGAGAUGCAUGCUUGACCCCUCCUUGUGCCAUUAUAGAUUAGAGAUCGUCAUCGAUGUUGUGUGUUCCAAUGCAGGUGUGUUAUUAUUACACUCACUCACAUAAACUAUGUUUUAUAAAUACUUUUAAAUAUGUAUAGUAGUAUUUUGUUGCUGAUCCUUUAAGGGAAGACGAACUUGAAUUUAAUUAUAGGAUGCCAAAAGUUCAAUGAUGGUUCCUACUUCUCAUUCUACUACUUACUAAUCAUGCAAGUUAAAAAAAGUCGAGGAUGCUAACAACUAAAGGUUUAUGUGCUUAAGUAUCUUUAUUGGAGCAGUUCUACUCAUAUUUUUAAAAGUUAAUGUAGUAGUUUAGGCUAAGUAUAAACUCAGCCUAAGACCUUCACAAAUACCAGUCUUUGUGGGUUUUUAGUAGCUUUGGGGAUUUGGUAUUUCGGAUUUAUGGUUUUCUAAAGAUCUGGAUAAGGGUAACAAAUUAGACCAAAAUUAUUUUUGUCUGAUUCGACUUGGUUUGGAUUGGUUUAUGUUCUAGUUUGGUUUGUUUUGGGUUCAAGUUCGGUUCGUUUUUGGAUAUAAAAAAUUAAUUAAUAUUAUAUGUAUUUGAUUACAAUAUUUACUGAAUAUUAUUGAUUCGGUUUGGUUCCAAAUAUUUUUUUUCGUAAUUUCGAGUUCGAAUUGAUAAAUUUGGUUUGAUUUUUUUUUUUGGUCCAAAAUGUACUGAUUCUUUCAUCUCAAGGUCGAAACCAAAAUUGGUUUAGCAAAAUCUGAAGACAAUUUUGGGUUUUUAGUAAACCAAAAGAUUCCAAGGACCAUAGAAACAUAAAAAGGAAAUAAUAUGAUGGGAAAAGGUAGAGAAAUCAUGAGAAAUCAUAUUGUUCCCUUCUGUAAAUGUCUUAUCUUUUUCACCACCCAAUUUUUUUAAUAAUCCCAAGCAACAACCACUUUAUUUCACAUCACCUUAUAAAUUAGUUACCAACCUUGUCCUCAAAGUCUCAACCAAAACACAUCAAAACUUGUAGUCUUCCACAUUUUUAAGAAACCAAAGUAAGCUGAGAGUGAGAGAAAUGACUUCAUCAAAAGCUUGCCUCUUCUUCCUCUUAUCUUCUCUAAUCAUCACAAACUUCGUCUUAGCACAAGACCGAGCUCCUCACGGUUUGGCUUACGAGACUCCAGUGGCAUUUUCACCUUCAGCAUUUGACUUCUUUCACGCUCAACCAGAAAACCCUGAUGAUGCCACUUUUGACCCUUGCGCGGAAUCCGGCUGCUCGCCUCUUCCCGUGGCAGCUGCAAAGGUCCAAGGAGCUUCUGCUAAAGCACAAGAAAGCGAGAUAGCUUCAAUGUCGGUUGGUUCUAGAAGCAGAAUGGGAGCUAGUGGUAUGGUAGGGAUCAUCUUUGGACUCGCGUUCGCCGUGAUGAUGUGAAACCAUGAUAGGGAAUAUAUAGCUAGACUUUGAGUUGUAAUGUGUGCUUUUUUGCUUCCCUUUAACUAGAAAGCUUGUAUCUAAAUUUCCAUCUGCAGUGGUUAAUAGCAGAGUAUUUAUUUUUAUUGUUUAAAGUGUGUAAUUCUAGAGUUUAUGUUAUAGAUUUUGAAACCGCUUGAUUACAUCUAUUGAAAGAGUUUAUGUUAGAAACCUCGAGUUCAAAAGUUUGAGAAAAAUGAAAGGGGAAAAUAAUUUUGUCUUCAACUUUUUUAACUACCAUUUUUCAAUAUUUUGAAUGUACUUUUUUUUUCUAUAAAUAUUAUAUUGAAAAGGCCCUCAUUUUUAUUAAACUUAAGUCCCUAUCAUCCUAGCCAUAAGAGCAUCUUUAAUGGCAUAAGCUUGAAGAUGUAGCUUAGUGUUUUUUUAGUAUAUUAAUAAUGUAAUAGUGUAUAUUAAGAACCCACAAAUAUAUAGGUAAUUAUGGGUUGAACUUGUAGGAUGUUAAAUUUAUAAUAAUAAAAUAAUAUAAAACAUAUUAAUAUUUUUUUAAUUAAUUAAAUAAAUAAUUGAAACAUAUAAAUUAAAAUGAGAUACUUCAAAAGUAUGUUUUAUAUUGAAGAGAAGCUAUAGUUUGAAGUCCAUCACAAAUAAGAAACAUAUCACUGCUUAAGUUGCAAAACUGUCUACUACUAUCAUCCAAUCACAUGGAGGAAGUUUGUUGAGCUUCUUUACAUGCUGGUUUGAUUUAAGCUUUUGUUUGUGUAUAUAUAGAGAGCUAAGAGUGUUGAGAUGAAACAGAAGGACACCUAACUGUGUUAGGAUUGAAGCAAGGUCCGUUCUGGUGAAUGGGUACACAAUCAGCUCCUGCACCACAUGCGUAGUCCAAUGUCUUCUGCAGCAUUGCCUCGCUCAACCCUUCUCUGCAUUCACACCAUGUUCCACCUAAACACAUAAAACCCCAUAUAAGACAUUCAUAACCAUUUGUGACUUUUCUGUUCUAAAAGAGAGUGGGAGAAAGGAGGAAUUUUUGUGAAACAAAAUGACAAAAAAAAAAGAAGAAUCUCUUUUCCCAUCAAAAGAAAAGAAGAGGAUCUAUAUGAGACAGAGAAUGGUUAUUUUAUUAAAACAUUGCAGGGUUUGACACAGAAAAGAUAUUUUUACUUGAGUGGCCAGCCAUGGCCAACAAAAUCACGGCAAGAACAACAACAUCCAUAGUCGCUGCACACAGAACCAAGCACUUUUGGAUGCAGCUAGUGGCAGGGAGAGAGAACAGCCAUAGUCACUGACAUGAUCUACAUCUAAACAUGCAAAAAUCAACAGCAUAAUCUUAAACAUAGUGAAGAUGCUGAAGGUAGAAAAACGAAUAGGGUUACAAAACUAAAACAAGAGCAGAUAUUUCUUAUGUUGUUUACAAGCUCUGCUCGUUCUCCUCUUCAUACGACACAACAUCCAUAUCGUAUUACUUAACGGUUUCACAUAUUCUAGUUCGACAUCUUGUUUAAACACAGAGAGAAGAUCAUAUACAUUAUUUUGUUACUAUAAAAGUUACUAUGGUUAUACAACUAAUUCAAUGUAUCAUUUGUGUUGUCAUACAGAGAAUCACUAAACAAGAAACAGAGAAGUAAAAUAGAUUACCUUGUUCACAAUGAGCUCACAUUGAGUACCCAGAUUAGCUAUAACAUCCAACAAAAAAAGACCCAGAAACUGCAUAUAGAAAACAAUAGAGAUGAAUGUCAAAUAGAAAGAGAUCUUACUUACAUGAAGAUAUGCAGAGAGAGAUGAUUCUAUGGGCACAACACUUUUAAACUGGAGGGGAGACACUUGUGCUGAAGCAGUAAAGAUUUCAGUUAGCUGACGAGAAACAAGAGGAAUAUCCAUGCUGCUUAGUGCUUUUACUAGGAAACAAUUGUAAUGAAAUAACUAGUUUUUACCUGGUCACAAAGAUGGCGGUAGGAUUGCCCGGAGAUGGAGGACGAAUCUGCUCCAGCACUGAAGCAUGUGGACCAGCUUUUGAAACAUUAUCAGGGUCACCUGCAGAAUAUACUUCAACCUCUUCAAGACCAAGUUGCCGCUUGAUCAAUUGAUCAAGUCCAUGUUACUCUGAAGGACAUCAAUCUCUCCAAACGGCAACCUCAAAUUUAAAGCCUAAGUGCCAAUAGAUAUUGUCUCAUCCUUCUUGAAUUUAACGAAAGGCAUGCAGAGCUUCUUAGCAUCUGUCUUGCUUGUUACUAUUCCCUCCUUCAGCAAUAUUUCUGUUAUUUCUGCUAGUAUCUCUUCAUCAGGGGCAAAACAACAGGUUUGUUGGUUAAAUUUCCUUUGCAGGAUCAUGAGGCAGUGAGCUUUCCAUCCAUCAAAUUGCUCAUUCACAUAUACUAGGCCUUUUAACUUCCGCUCUGGCACUUAAACACCUUUUUUUAACAAGCCUUCUUGGAACCUGGGAGCUGAUUUUGUAGAAGCUUUCUCAUCUAUACAGUUUAAAAAUAUCUAAAUGAAACCAUUGAACUAAAUACCAGAACAAAUAUCAAACCAACAAGACAUCCAAAUCCUCUUUCAAUUUGUUGCAUGUACCUGAGUUAUAUCGAUCUGAAGAUUGAGAGACAGAACGGACGAGAUGGUGAGGAGGAGAUGGAGGAGAUCGACAACACGGUGACGAGGACUCGGAGGAGACGGAAAAGACAGUGGAUGAGCCGGAGAAGACGAAAAGCUUGUUCUCUCGUCGAAUCGCACAGCUAGGGUUCGAGAGAAACAUUUGGGGAUUUUGCUUUUCUUUCACUGGCCAAAAACAAAAAUCUUUUCGAAAAAUAAAAAUAACACCCUAUCAGAAAAUAACACGUGGCUUAAGACUCCCACACAAAAACAUCUUGGACAAACACCGAAUGGACCUUCAAAAUCCACUGUUACAAUUAUCUGGGUUUUGUUUAUUCUUCUAAGGGCCGACGAAAUGCAGCGUUAAAGAUGCCCUAACCAUGUUUACUGCAUAACCAUAUCAAAACUCUAAUAUAAUACUAUAAAAAUUCUAUAACUGAGCCAUAUGAAAAAAGUAAAAAACCUAUAUUAAUCUCAUUAAUAGAAAACUAAACAAACUAAAAUUUUUUUUGUCAACUCUAAUCUAUUCUAGUCAUCUGGAUACGUACCGUAUAUAAUAUAUAUAUUAGAUUUGUUAAUUUUUCAAAUUUAAUUAGUUAUAUUAAUAAUAUUUAGUAAGUUUAAAAAAAUGUAUAAAAAAUCUGUAAAAUAUGAUUUUUCAACAGAAUAAAAGCAAACAUUUUGAAGAUCACAAUUUUUGAGGAUAUACAGUAUUCGAAAAACAGCAUACAAAAAAAUUAUAAUGCAUUUGACACCUUUGAAAUCCAUUUGUGGGGAUAACAUUAUUGAAGACAACAUCAUCGCUUCAACAUAUAUCUUGUUGUCUACACAAACAUUAUGCAAAUUGGUAAUGUAGUUGUGUAAACGUGCAAUUUGACUUAGAAAUAUAUUUUUGUGUACUUGUGUAGGUAUAUUAUAGAAGUUAGAAUGAUAUAUGGAUGUGUACAUACGAUAUGUAAUUAGCUCAUACAUUUCGCCAAAUAAGUAAUCAUCAUAAUCACUAAUGAUUUCUCAAAGCAGUGUUUAUUAUUCUCAAGAUUCUCUAUGUUUUUGCUAUAAUGAUGAUGAUUAGUAUUAAUAAAAAAACAAAGUUUCAAAAACUCGUAUCUUCUUCACAUACUUCACCGCUCUCUUGCCACACACUUGUAAGUUGUAAAUUGUAAUAGUCUAAUAAAGUGGGUAAGUGUUUGCCGCUCGACGUCGUCCCUAAGCUUCACGGUUUGGACCUAACACAUGCCCAAUAGAAAAAUGAAGCAAAGGUGUGUUACAGUGUUAAGAGUGACACGUGACCGAUGUGUGUUCACACAUGCAAGCUCCCUAUUCAGCCGUCCGUCACGUGUCCUUCGAUUAGUCUCCGCCGCUCCCAUUUUUAAGGUUACUACUCUCUGUUUCUUCUUGGCGAAGUAAAAGCUGUGUCUCUCGUCGGAAUCUUGAUGGAGAAGAAGAAGAAAGGCGAUGGUGAAUCGAACUCGAAGCCGCCUCUAAUGGCGUUGAACCAUGUCUCAAGGCUUUGCAAAGACGUUAAAAAGUCUUUGGAGUUCUACACGAAGGUGCUAGGGUUCGUGGAGAUAGAGCGGCCAGCUUCGUUUGACUUCAACGGUGCGUGGCUUUUCAACUACGGUGUAGGGAUUCACUUGGUGCAAGCUAAGGACGAAGACAAGUUACCUUCUAAUACUGACCAUUUGGAUCCGAUGGAUAACCACAUCUCUUUCCAAUGCGAAGACAUGGAAGCUUUGGAAAAGAGGCUCAAGGAAGUGAAGGUGAAGUACAUCAAGAGGACGGUGGGUGACCAGAAAGAUGCGGCCAUUGAUCAGCUCUUCUUCAACGACCCUGACGGCUUCAUGGUGGAGAUUUGCAACUGCGAGAAUCUCGAACUUGUCCCACGCAAUUCAGCGGACGCCAUACACCUCCCAGAAGACCGACACGCACCUCCUGUUGCCCUCCAUGGCUCAUCCGACAGUAGAAUGCCUCAACCCAAUUCUUAGGGAAGGCCACUUUGGUUAUUUGUUUGGUUUUAAUAAAUCUUUGACCAAACACAAACCGAAGUUAUUGUCGCUUUGGUUUUCAUGUUUGUUAGUCUAGUUAAGUUUGGUUUUAGUCUAGUUCAAUUGGGUUAGGUUUGUUUGAGUUUGUUCCCUACAACGUAAACAAAUUCUCAUGUUUCUUGUCAAACCAGAGUUUGAAUCAUCUUUACCAUAAUUUUGAAAGCAACAAAACAUGUUUUUGUCUAAAGAAAUAGCACAACGAAGAUGAGAGACGAUAAACAUUGAUGUUGUUGGUUUGGCGUAAGUGGGAGUAGCAAUAUAAAUUAAACAAUUUAUAAACGCACGGGUUGUACAAAAACAAUGGUAUGGUUUAGCAUAGAGAGAAUCAAAACAAGAACUAGGCUCGAAAAAGGAUAUAAACUACCAUUCAAGCUAAUGAACCGAGAAACAAACUUGAACAAAUAAGCCUAUAACCUCUACAAUUCUUGCAUUACUACUCCCAUGAAGCUAUGAAAACAACAAGCUUUGAAACAGAGUAGAAAUACCUAAAAUUUCCAUGCAUUUGCAUUCUUUCAAUCACAACCAAAAAACCAGGAUGCCAGUUCGGACCAUUUCGCUGGAUGCCGCUGCUUGCCCCCUCCCGGUGGCUGCAACUGCAAAGGAAUCAUCGCAACACUUCUGUUUGCCAUGCUGAUAUGUACUAUUCCAAUUCCAUAUAGACUGGUGUUUAAGCUUGAUACAUGAUAAAGCACACAUAUAAAUUUCCCUCUACAAUGGGUAGUAGCAAGAGUAUUCGAAUGUUUACCGUAUAAUCAAAUACUGAUCACCUGAUAAGAAAUCAAAUCUAGCAUAGUAUAAAAAGUUAUACAUCACAGCAUCUCAAUCAUUAAGCCAAACAACAUAACCUUUUGUCAACAUUUUCAGUAAACACACAACAAUUCUCUUCUCAAGAAGGUAGACAAAACAAGAAUAGUGAUGUAUUCAGAUAAGGCCAUAACAACCGAGUGUGUCUACAUCUCAAACUCAUAGUACUGAAAACAGGACAACAAUCGAAUUCGUGAGUAUUCUCGAAGUUUCACAUUUCCAACAAAAGAACUUAUCCAUCUCUACCAUUUACGCGAACUAAGAUAUUCAAUGGCAGGUUCAAAAGUCUGAUCCACAGCUUUGUUCCACAGAGAUGCAAAUUCCACACGAUACUUCUUCCCUAAUAUACGAUCUCUCACCUGGAAACAAAGUAUAUCCCAAAGUUCAACUCAAAGCUACUGGCACCACCAAUACUAUCUAAACCGUAACCAUGAGUUCAUCUAAGAACCAUCACAAACCCAACUAGUCUAAUACUCAAAAGGCAAAAUCCAAAUCUUAAUGUGUCAAUGUACUAGAUCAAGCCUUAAGCUAGAUUCUCAUCACUUCAAGGUUAAAUUGGAUUCGAUUUCAUAGAGACUAAGGGAAAUUUAAUGAUAUUUUAGGGAUGAAAAGGGAGAGAAGGACGCGAUAACCUGAGAUUGAUCAACGGAUUGAGAUUUAGGAUCAGAAACAGAUUGAUGAAUGAGCUUUCGCUGCUCGAAAACGACGAGCCCAGUCAAGGCGCUACCAAGAGUGAAACCAAGAAGACGUUCCUGUAGAAGAAUCGUUAAACAAUGGAUUGAACAAAUCGAUUUUUAGAAACAAAAGAAAAAAAAUAAGGAAUCUGGAGGAUAAGGAUGAAGAGGGAAACCUGAGCGAGAAUGCUGAUCAUGGUGAAACUCUCGUUUGAUUUUGCUGGGAUUGGGAAAGGGUUUCUUUUGUUUUCUCGAGAAAAAAAAAAUGAAACUGAGGAAGAUGAUGAUGCAACGAGACGAGACAGACACGUAUACAAAUGGGCCGACUAUGGGCUUUAACCCAACAGUUAAAAACAAUAAUGUAAUAUUUCUUAUAGUUCUUUUCUGCAAACAUUAUUAUUAUUUUUUUUUUUUUGCAACAACUGCAAACAUUACUUAUUCAUCAAAUAUUCAAAUAUACAAAUAUUGUGCAGUCUUACAAAAAAAAAAAUACUUAGAAAAAUACCAAAAAUUGAUGUUUUAUUUAGACAACAACUAAACAAAUAUACAUCAAACUUAAAUCCUCUUGUGAUAAAAGUGCUCCAAAGAAAAAUUCUCGAAGUGAGGUAGACCCUAGGCUAGACCCAUAUAUGAUGCAUCUACACGCAUGCAACAGUAAAUGCAUCAUCAUAACCAUGAUAAUAAGAGAACCAUUAGUAACAGCUUUGGUGUUAUGUGGGAAGAACAAAUACAUCUAACAUGAUUUUUUUUUUAAUAAUAAAGAUUUAAUAUUAGAUUUUUUUUCAACAAAGAUUUACUAUUAGAUAAACUCACAUUUUUCAAUUAGAGUUAUGUGGUAUUUUAUAUCAAAUGUAAUUUUGAAAAUUUUCAUGCAAACUAAAAAAGAACGUAUAUCUCUUAUUUAAUUAGUGAUUAGUAAUUUAAUUUAAUGAAAAGUAGUUUUGAGUUAGGGAUAUAUAAGGAAAUUAACGUGAAAAUAAGAAAGCCUAUUUUUACAACAGCUUAUUUUUCAUUUGAUAUAAAUAACUAUAUCUUUCUAUAUGAACUAAUUAAAUAAGCAUACUUUUUGCAUGUAAAUAUGAAGUUUAACCAUAUAGAGAAAAAAUUGGAUUCAAACAAUUAAUCAAAAAAUAAAUCAAAUAAUUAUGGAGAAUAAAUGUGCUUACUUGCCCUAAAUAUUCCUUGAAUAUCUCAUAUAUUUUGAUAGAUUAACUUAGCGAAGUCGAGUAUUAUGGUUCUGUUGCUGUUAUAGUAGACAACUAUUUUUUUUUUUUGGUGGAAUUAUAGUAGACAACUAUUGUUGGUGUUAACUUGUUGCUACGUCCGAAAAAACAUUAAAACACAUAUUUAAUUCUUAAAAACAUUUCUUGAAACAUAAACCAUUUGUACAAUAACUACUCCAAUCUAUUAAAUUUACAGUAUAUAGAACUCCAAAACUGGUUUUUCUUACCAAAUAUUUUCAUCAUACGUUAUAUCACGGCUUCUUGAUUCAAUCAAGAGACAAAAAAAAAAAAAAGUUUAUUAAAAUUUUGUAUAUUAUACAUAUACAAAGUGUUAUAAAUAGAAAAGAACAAAAAAGAGACAUGCAUCCAAGUUUGAAAUCUGAACGCUGCGUAAUGCGUUAGACAUGGGUGGAUCAAACACAAUAAAAUAAUAUUUACAUAUUUGUUUAACUAUAUAAUUUAACAAACAAAUGUAUUUGAUUAUUCGAUUCAGCUUCUUCCAUAUCCCUUCUCUCCGUCCCUUGUUCUUCGUAACGAGAAUAUAGAUUUCGCUAUUGGUGUAUUGAUUGAUUCGAUCACAUUGCAUCAAAGCUACACAUCGAAUCGCAAUGGCGAAAAAGCUCGGUUUCAUCAUCGUUAUGCUAUCAAUGUACCUCCUCCUAAUUGUCAACUUUGCGCAUGCUCAGGAGGAAUCUCCAUCCCCUGCUGUCUCGCUGGGACGUGAAUCUUUAACGGAUUCUCCUUUGCCAUCACCGGAAGGAGAUUCGUCUCUCCCACCGUCUUUUUCACCAGAAGCAGAUUCCCCAAAGCCACCAGCUUCAUCACCGGCACCUGAAACCCAAGCAGAUUCUCCAUCACCUUCAUUGCCACCUCCUCAGGCGGAAUCUCCCUCUGAUUCCUCACAAUCUCCAUCAUCACCUGGACCAGCACCAGUUCCUGCUCCAGCUGACGAUGAUGACGACGAUGAUGAUGAUUCUGACCCGGAAACAGAGUAUUUUCCAUCUCCGGCACCAUCUCCCGCACCAGAUGUGGGAAUGCCAGAUGAUAUCAAAGCAAGCGAAGAAGACGGCGAUGAAUACGAGGACAACAAUGGUGAAGAUAGCGGAAUGAGUGCAUUGACGAAAGCCGGAAUUGCCAUUGGAGCAAUACUGGGAGUAGGAGCAAUGGUUAUCGGAGCUCUUGUUUACAAGAAACGAAAAGAUAACAUGACCAGAGCUCGUUACACUCGCUUUACUGAAGGAGAGUUCCUUUAAAAGAGCCAUUCUUUUUUGUAUUUAAAAAACUUUUUUCACUUAUGAAAAAUGGAAAACAUAUAUAAUCCUUAAAUUGUGUUUAUGCAAAACAAAAAUAGUUGUUGGUUGUUCUUUUGGUGCUACAUCACAUUCUUAAUGAGUUUAUUGCAUAUUCUUACCUCUCAAGGAGCAUUACCAUUUCACAGUGGUCAGUAUGGGGGAAAAGAUCAACGGCCAUGGCUUUGACAGGUCUAAAAGGCUCAGAAGUUGGCAUUGACUUGGCUCUACGACGAGCCAAACCGGCAAUGCCUAUAUUCUUGUUCCCUCUGUAAGUUUUGUUUCCUCUAUCCGCUUCAUCAAAAGAUGGUGUGCAAAGCUCUAUCGCGUUUGCCACUAGCGUUUCGGGGUUGCAUGAAAUGUACCUGCAUCAAAGCAAAGAUCGGCAAUUCUGGUGUUAAACAAAUAGAGGAAACAGAGUCGACAUAACCAAGUUUGUGGUAGUGAGUGUUUAGAGAAGGGACUAACACAAGCCUCUUUAGCCGGGGAUGGGUUCUUAAAGCUUUAAUUACAGCUGGAUGAAGUCCAGAACGAGGUGGAUCGACUAUAGCAACCACGUUUCUGAACUGUGGUUUUAUAGCUUUUUCCGGCUCUAUGGACGAGGAAUCCUUCUGUGCAUUGUCUUGAAGUUCUUCUACUUGAGUGUUUGGAGGAGGUAGGUUUUGAUCAGCCACAUGCUCUGAGUUUGACAUUUCUUCUGUUGAGGGAAUUUUUUUGUCGUUAGCAUUACUUACAGGCUUAGCUUCUUCCAUUUCAGUCACAUCUAAGUACUGUUUAAGUAGAGAGCUCAUCACAGUCUCUGCCUGUAUAACAAAGCCAACAAACUACCAUGAAUUAAGAUUAAGAUAAUGGAACCGACUACGAGAUUUGUUAUUGUCAAAUGCUACAUGCCUUUGAGCAGAUGAACUUGCAGUUGCUAAUGCCAUUGAUUGUUGCGUUCCUUUCGGCAUCCACUACAGCCGAAGCAUUCAUUUCUAUGCCAAUUACCUGUAAGAGCCUAAGCGGUUAGCACCAAAACCUUUUAACACAGCACCAGUUGUACCCACUUUUAUAGUUUUGGUCACCAGAUGUAGUUAAACAAAGUAUAAUUGCUUUAACCAAAUCAACAGACACGGUAAGGAUUGGUACUAAUCGGUUUUGCAAGUUCAAUAGCAGAGUAUUACCAUGCCAACACGAUGUGCCAGUGUAAGCCCGAUUGUUCCAGUUCCACAACAUACAUCGAAGAGUAAAGUGUCCGGACCAAGGCCAGCCCAGUCUCCAGCAACUGAGUAUAACUUUUCUGCUGUGACAGUAUUAACCUGGAUAUUUAGUUUUCAAAUCAAUUAAACAUUAUUCAAAGGGAUUUUGAAAUGUACUGUUAGUGAAGAUUAAGUUAUUACCUGAAAAAAUGCUGUCGGGGAAAUGCUGAACCGAAGGUUGUUAAUAUGAUCAUGAAUCCGAGCUUCGGUCAAGACAUUGGUAGCCUGCUCCUGAUUUUUCCCAUUAUCUGACAUUGGAAUAGGCAGCACUUGCAGUGGGGCGUCGGGUGGUGCAACAUUUGAUAUUCCUGUAUGGUUCUGAGAAAGAAGCGAUAUAGGCAGUGAAUAACAAAAUGGGACUUGGAGCUAGGAAACUGUAUUAUACAUUUCCUUUAAAUAUGAUUAAAUAAAAAGUGAGGAAAAUUAAUCACCUGAACAACUAAUACAGUCAGAGGAAGAGUUGGAGAGCUUGCUCUAGCUCCUUCAGCAAAUGCUUUUGCCAUUUCUUCAUACUCCGUGGCCACUUCUGCCUCAUCAGAACCAGUUAAACAAACCUGAAUAGUUUCACACGAGAUAGAGAGACUAAAGAAACAAAUAAUAGUAGGAUGGGUGAAAAACAUCGACGACCAUUCUAGACACAAACCUGAACAAUAAGCAUAACCUCCGCAAUUCUUGUAACCGCAUCUUCGUCAUUUGAAAACACGCCAGGUUUUCUCCCUUCUCGAACCUAAUAUAUUUAUUUUGAGCAAGGUGAAAGAAAAAAUUAAUUAGGUAAAGUCAUGAUUGAGCUAUACCAUAACAGCGUGUUGUGCAAUACACAUACCGAGAACUGUCGCCAGAACCCACUAUGUUCAAACCUAUUCCAAACUUGGAGCUUUGAUUUUUCUAUAAACUUCUGAAAGAUUGAAGCAUAUUGAAGAGCAAUUUGAGAGACGUUGGGGCAAUUCACAGGCUCCUCAACUGCUGUCACACCCGCGCUGAAAAAGAUCUUGCAUUAGCUUUUUCCCGUGACAAUAUGAAAAACGCAAGUUUGAGGGAAGAAAAGUAUAUAUACCAAAAACUUCCUAGACUGAAUCCAACAGUUGGCUUUCCCUGAAGAGAUAAUCCAACCGAGAACUCACACUUGUUCCUGUAGCCAUUAGAAAUUGGUGAUUCUAUAAUGCCCUCGAAGUUGCAUGCAAGACCACCUAAGGAUUUAUUGUAUGAAUUAGAAAUCCCACCCAAUCAAAAUGGUUAUCAAAGGUAUUCACUUUGCCAGAAUGCAAUUACAACUUCAAAGAAGAUACACCAACCAACAGCUAAGAAGUGUAAUACUAGAAAUCAACAAUGGAUAGUUUUCUUACCUCUGUCUCUAGACGUAAGGACCCAUUCUGGAAGUGACCUCCCAUUUGGACAAGCUUUACGCGCACUCCUUGCCUGCCAGGAAAUUUAUAUUUCCACUAAAAAUCAGUAUAUUGAAGUUGAAACCAAAUAAACACCAACGCAAAACUAAACGUUGAGAAUGAUCCUGACAAGUUUUUUCAGCAUUUGCCCAAUAGAAGCCUUUUUUUGUUCAAGCUGGUCCGCGUAAGGCAUGUCUGCCAAGGGUGUCACAGCUUCACGAGCACAUUUAACCGAUUUUUUUGUUUCGUUCUUGUCAAAUGUGCGGGGAAGAACAUCGGCGAUCUUCAACUUAUUGCUAUUAACAGUUUUCCCAUCCAAAAUCUGCAAUAAAUUUUCAAUAGAUUAACAAAACAACAUCCUCCGAUAUAUCUCGGAAUAAAUAAGCUCAACAAACAAACCAAAAAAAACAACCUCCACGCCGCUCUGCAAUUGUUCUGCAUUCUCAAAUGUCACAAAACCAACCAUCAUUCCUCGUCUUUUCUUCGCAGACUUAUAUUGAACUCCCUGCAACGAUGAAUCAAUCAAUCAGUCCCUGAAUUCACAAGCAAUUUCAACACUAAUCAAACACCAAAGUUCUAUUUAACUACACUAACAUGAACACAUUUGAUUCAAAUUCCCAAAUACAAAAUUCAAAAACUGAGACUUUACCUGCUCUCCUAAGAAGGUCUUCAGUUCAUCUGAUUGCCAUUUCCUUGGUAAAUGCACCAAACAUUUACUAAGCGACAAAUCAAAAACACUACCAUCAUCAUCAAUUGAUUCCAUCAUCUGCUCAGUGAACAAAACCUCUUCAUCUUCUUUCUCUUCUUUCUCAGACAUCUUCAUCGCCUUCGUCUUCUUACCACGCUCAGAAGUCGGAUCCCAAGUUUUAUCUGGUUUCAUCCGGAGCUCUUGCUCACCAUGAGCAUACUUACACUCACUUCCAUGGCUACACGAAGCCUCACGCCUAAAAUAAGAACAAAGACUCGUCUUCCACCACGGCGAAGGAGUAGCCUUCAUCUCCGACGAUUCGAGAUUGGUCUUCUCAUCAUCCGCGCGUUUCCGUUUCUCCCCAACGGAUUCAAUGUUAUCCGUUGGAUUUGAAUCGGACGAUUGAAUUGGUUCGACGGGAGCAGGAUGAAGAACUUCGAUUGAUGAUGUCUCCAUUGGAAUUGGCUCGGCCGGAGCAGGAGGUGUUAGGGUUUUGGUGAGUAAUGGAAGCCCGUUGAUUUCGAUUGCUGACGUUUCCAUCGGAAGUGAUUCAGUGGUGGAUGAAGGAGGCUGGGAGGUUAAGGUUUCGGCGGCAGACGAAGGAAGCUCGUCGAUUGAUGAUGAUGACGCCAUUGUAAGUGGCGGUAGAGCUCGAAGAAGCGUUAGAUGGAAGUGACGGAGUUUCAAACUGUAUCAGUAUCCUUAAACCCUACCCGGUUUAGAUGGUUUUGCUUCGGUUCAAUAAUCUAAUUAAUUAAUUAGUUUCGGUUUAGCUUUAAUUUUUCUAUACCAAUUUUAGUCUCCACCCUCCAUAAACACUAUGUAUGAUUUUAUCUAACAUCUAUUAUAACAUUUUUGGAGUACAAAUUUUUGGCCAUCACCUAUUAAAUUGCUUAUGACAUCGAUUACCCUCAACAUCAAUUAUUUUGCCUGUUUUCAUUAAGGUUAUUGUAGUCAAUAUAUUGAAUCGGGUCGGUAAAUUUUCCAAUCUUUAACCCAAUUUGAUUACUCGGAUCCUUCUAUUUCGCCUACCAACGAUUGCCCUUCAAAUAAUCUUCAUUCCUGUUGAAAUAAAAAGGUUAAUAAAGUCUUUAAUAUACUUAAUCGGUUUAUAAGAUACAUUCAGUACUGACUAGAUUUCGAUAACAAGACAUUUAGUUUAACAAGAUUUUAUCAGUUAUGAUAACCGACCUCUAUGCCUACGAAUACAUCAUCACAAGUAUUUUGAAAAUCUUUUAAAACUAAUAUCAUAAAUAACAAACCAUAUAUAGAUCUCAUAUCGAAACUAGGUUCCUUAAUUUUUGGAAUAUCUCUGCUCUCCACAAUUGUGUCAAUCAUAUAUUCUUAUAUUCCUGAAAUGAAGAAAGAAGUUAAUAUAAUCGAUCGAGAGAAUUUGGAAUAUUCCAUGGUUGAAGAUCUCAUUUUACAUUUCGAAAAUAUAUUGCAAAUAACUAAACUUUAUCCCCACGCCGUGUAAAAUUUAGGUUAAUGUCGACUUCAUUCCUCUCCUACACUAUAUAUAGCACAACCAUAUACAACUAUUACUCAGAGCACCCAAAAAUCCCUACAGCAAAAAAAACUCUUCACAAAAAACAUAUCUACAUGGCUGCUACAUUUGCAUACCUCAGGGACAUACGUCCUUACAAGACAGCUUGGAGGGUCCAAGUCAAAGUGCUACACUCUUGGCGCCAAUACACAAACAUGACUGGAGAGACAUUCGAGUUGAUCUUCUCCGACGACAAGGUUAGUUCAUGUAUUAUUAUAAGUGUUAAUAACAGCCAUGGAUCAACUUAUAAUGUUUAUUUUCUUUUUUUGUAGGGUGUAAAGAUACAUGCUNNNNNNNNNNNNNNNNNNNNNNNNNNNNNNNNNNNNNNNNNNNNNNNNNNNNNNNNNNNNNNNNNNNNNNNNNNNNNNNNNNNNNNNNNNNNNNNNNNNNNNNNNNNNNNNNNNNNNNNNNNNNNNNNNNNNNNNNNNNNNNNNNNNNNNNNNNNNNNNNNNNNNNCGGUUUCUGAUUCAAACUUUUUGUCUUUGGCUAAGUUUACGAUUUUUUGAAUAGUAUCAAGCUCUCAGGUUUGCCUCAUCAUGCUUUACGAUUGAAAAUAGGAGCUCCUGUUAUGUUGCUUAGGAAUAUUGAUCCUAAAGGUGGAUUAUGCAAUGGGACUAGGCUUCAGAUAACGCAAAUGGCUAAUCGUGUUGUUGAAGCAAAAGUUAUCACAGGUGAUCGGAUUGGAGACAUAGUCUUAAUUCCACAGGUUGUUGUUACACCAUCGGACACCAAAUUACCAUUCAAGAUGAGACGAAGACAAUUUCCACUUUCUGUAGCGUUUGCUAUGACUAUCAACAAAAGCCAAGGACAAUCUCUAGAGCAUGUGGGUAUAUAUUUGCCUAAACCAAUUUUUUCUCAUGGUCAGUUGUAUGUUGCUUUAUCUAGGGUAACUUCGAAGAAAGGAUUAAAAAUCUUAAUCGUCAACAAAGAAGGGAAGGUUGACAGACAGACAAAGAACGUUGUCUUCAAAGAGGUGUUCCAGAAUCUGGGCAACUAGGCUUGCUGUUUUACACGUACGCUUCACUUCAACUUGUGGUGAUACGAUUUAGACAAACCUGCUAAACUCUUUUAAUUCAUUUNNNNNNNNNNNNNNNNNNNNNNNNNNNNNNNNNNNNNNNNNNNNNNNNNNNNNNNNNNNNNNNNNNNNNNNNNNNNNNNNNNNNNNNNNNNNNNNNNNNNUUGAAUUGCUAGAUCUUAUAUUUUGGGAAUUGUUUUUAAUCACCAUAAAUCAUGCACAACCAUUUCCAUACUGAAGUAGAGUAUGAAGUUUACCUUAUUGUCUAAUGUCCUGCGUUCUUUAUCCGGACAUGUCAACGAUGCCAUAUAAAAGACUUCAAAAACUGCAUAUAACAAAUAGAGAACAAUGUUUUGAGUAAACGGCACCUUAUAGUUUUCACAUAUGUUGUUAAAAAAAACUAAUUGAAGUCUGCAGUUAUCUUACUCAUUCAAUUAGCUAAGCAUAGUUCUUAUAUGCUAAUAAGUGACUUGAAUCCGCAAGAAUUCUGAAACACAAACUCCUUAGUUCGGUUGAAUAUAAAUUCUACCUUCUAAUCCAAUUUUGUUCGUCCUUAAACCGGUGUUAUCCACCAUUCCAUAUAAUAGAGUUUAAAAACUGCAGACAACAAAUAGAGAACAACAUAUAGGAGAUUAAAGCACUCGGUAUUCACAUAAGCAACAUUCUUCCAUUAAAUAUAAACAUGUAAUACCUGAAUCACUUCCCCAAAAAAAAAUUAUCCAAUUAAAACCUGUAAUUAGCAACAAGUUAUAAGUCAGAUGUAUUGGAUCAACAGAAACGUAGAAAGAUGAAGUUAAAAUAAUUCACAAAGGCAUUAAUUAGACCAUAAAACUCAAAAUAGGAUUAUAUCAAUUGAGAAUUGGAAGAUUCAAGAUAGUGAACCAGAGUUCUCGAAAUGAUCCCAAUCGAUUUACAUAAGAAAACCUUUGCAUGCUCUACAGGACCAUCAUUUGCUGCACCAUCAUCCUUGAAUAUUCUGAAACCAAUCGAUUGCUGCACCAUCAUCCUUGAAUCUUCUAGAUGCCAACAUCGUUAUAAAUUUCAGGCGAUGAAAACUAGAGUUUGGAACAUGAGAAAGUAAGUAGAUAGAUAGAUUAAAUUUCUGGGUUUUCUCACAAAGAAGGGAAAUUCAAGUUCAAUUACCUUCAUGUUCGAUUCAGGUACUUGUAUUUUAGAUACGAUCGGUUUGUCUCGAAGGAAAGUGAAAGAGACACCGUUUGAAAACUUUAACGGAAAGGCCAUUUUAAUUUUUUAUUUUCCUUAUCUCAACUUGAUGACAGUUUUUGGCCUCUCUUUAAAAUAUGGUUCUUGGGAUAAAUAAAUAUGUGUAAAAGUAACCAAACAAUUUCGGACUUAACCAAACAAUUUCUGACUAAGCAUGCACAAUAACUAAAGUGUGAAUACUUUGUGAACAAAAUAUUGUGUAAUUAUGUAAGUGCUAAAUGUCCUUGAUUUUUUUUAAUAUAAUAUGACUCCCACAAAACCAUGGUUAAGUUAUUAAUAGAGAAGAAACAAUUCGACAAACAUCACAUUCAAAUAAACAAAAUAUUUAUUGUUCACUACGAUAAGGUACAAUUUAACCUUACAAAACACUUCUUUUAUAAAAAUUAGGAAAAACAAAUUAAUCCAACUAUGAACCCGUGGUGUACCACGGGGUAAAACCUAGUUUUUUCGUAUAAAGUUGGCGAAUAGUAACGAAUCUACAAAUAAUGGAUUCAAAGACCAUAAAGCUAAUAUUAUUAUCCAUUUCAUUUGCUUUAUUUUCAUUUUCAACAAUUACAUACUUCAUUAAAAUAUCAAAUAAAGGAACCGGAGGAGCUCAUGAACAAGAAGCUUCAACAGCUAAGCUCUUCACGACGCCACGACAAGGUUCUCCGAAGACUCUAGUAGAGACUUCAACGUUGCAACUCCUCAAUCCAAUACAUGCCUGUCACAAGUCAAACUCCAAGUAUGAGUAAAUAUAGGAAAUGAAGGUUAGAAGGAAAAAGAAAAAGAGAGAUUAUAUAAGACCUUUUGGACGAGGGAGAGAGAGCGAGAGCUGCUGCAAUGGCCGUAGGUGAAGCUACCGCAAGUACCUUUAGGUGUACCGAAGCUUGCAAAUUUUAUAGAAGUUAUGACAUGAGUGGAGACAGGACAUUUUAAGGAAAGAACCGGUCUGGUUCUGUGUUUGUUAGAGAUUUUCGAGUCUGAUGUCCAUGUGUCCACCGGAGGUGGAUGAGACUGUGACACUGUUAGACAUAAACUGCUUCCUGUUUGUUUUGUAGCGAAUGAUAUUUGUGUUGGAUCUCCUCCCAUUUCCUCUAAGAGAACAAGUGUGUUCCCGCUCGGGUUUAGCCACGAGCGAGGUACGUGAUACCUACAAAAAAAAAAACAAUUACAGUACUUGGGCUUGUGGAAGAGUUUAAUCUUGAUAAACCAAAGUCUGUAAAGAUUAGUACUUACAAUGUCUGUGAAGGUUUUCCACAGUUCUUGACGCAUUUUUUUGCAGUGUAAGAUCCUCUGUAGUCGCAUGAAUCUGUGCAACCGUUGUUUGCUGCGAUACUGGUUGGCCAGUACCUACCUAUGCUCUGUCCAUUCACCCAUGCAAUGCCCUUUCCUGUACCCGUGAAGUCUAUCGCUACUGGCUCGCUCCCAGAAGGAGCAUUAAAUGUUGUCUAAGAAAAGUAAGAAGCUAUUGUUAGAGAGUGACAAGAAUGUACAAGAAUUUUGUCAAAAUGUGUUUUUUUGGUGAACCAUCAUCACCUUGUACCAAAUCAGUGGCUGCUUAGUGGGCAAAGGAGACUUUGAAACCCAUUCAGAAGAAUCUCCAGUUGCUAAACCUGUGUCUUCCCCUUUGAGUCCAACCUAUAUAUCACAAUCGUUAAAGUUUGAUAUAGCCGGAGGUUCGAGCUAGGAGCAGUAAAUAUGAUAAGAGAUUCUUGAGGUUGAUUCAAAUCCAAUGGAGAAUUAUUGUAAUGCACCUGAUAAGUCCAUUGCUGUGUAGCCAAAUCGAUUGAGCUACCACUUUUUGCGCUUUUAAGUGUCACAGGUCCGGUUAUUCCUGCUCCCACUAAGUCAAAGAAAGGUCCAUAGUUCUGGGGAAUAAGUUAAAUACAUUAGUUGAGUUAAUCCUGCCUAGUAAACAUCUUGUGCAGUAAUGAUGAGGUUAGAAACGAAGAUGACGUACCGCAAGCCCUACGGUAACACUAAGGAGAUCAAUUGUGUUCUUCCCGGGUACAAGAUUAAUCGGGAUAACCAAAGAAAUCUUCUGUUUGUCAUGUCCACUUCCUGCAACCGCAAAGUGUGUAUGUAAUAUGUAUCAUUGGUAUAGUUUAUAAACUUAGUGCCAAACUUAAUUUCAACUGCUUGUGAAAACUCAAAGAGUAUUUAUGUACCGGCCAGUUUUCCAUUUAUAAAAGCAUAGACCACUUGACCAAUAGAUUCAAUGUGAAGUACGGCUUUAGAUCCUUCGUCAAGGAAAGUCUCAUCGCCUUUAAUAUCCAUCCUGUUAAAGAUUAAAACACAGAAAAGCUCUGUUAACAUAAAACCAAGCAUCUUGUGCAAGAAGAGAAAUUACUGAGAAAAUGGCAUUGGCCUACUCUACCUUAGAGAGUACCACAAGUAAUCGCUUUUGUCAGCUGUUGUGUUUAUCUGCUCUAACAAUCCAGGUUUCAAGAAUGCAUCAGUCUUGGAAAUCCCAAUAGGUUCUUUAAUGUAACUCCAUUGUGAACCUAACUCCGCAGAUGAACCACCAUCAGGCUUCAAUGAUUGAGGAGCAAAUGUGGUAGACUCAGUUGCAGCAUUUUUCUAGAUAUGCAUAUUAGAUAUCAAUAUUAGUAAGUUGUUCCUAUCAGCGAUAUGAUAAGUAGCGAUAAGCUUAACAGUUUAAAGAUGAUAUUGAACAAACCUUUGCGGUGUUGAAAGCUACAUUUUUGCAAUCCGGCAAGAUGCUAACUGACCAUGCAGGCAAGACGUAUGAUUGUCCAUUAAAAACCACAGUUGCAUCAGAUUUUGUGCCAACAUUUGCAAGAAAAGCAGCACAUGAUCCAGAUGUUUUAUAUACAGCAGCCUAUAAAGACAAAACUUUACAUAUUUAGAAGUACCAUUUUUUUAAGCAUGAGAGUGACAUGAAGGUAUCAUUACCUCCAAAUUUGAACCCAAAGAUGUAAUUGUUGGAUCUGUGGCAAUCAAUGAAUCUUCACAAAGCUUAAUAGCCUUGUGUAAAUCUCGCAAGUGUCCCCAUUUUGGUUGUCUAAGAAGUCCUGCAACAAAAUAUAUUACAACUCCAGUGAUCCACACACUUUUGUGGGUAAACAAAGAUAUGCAGUAGUAGAAUCCGUACCAUACUCAUCAAUUGGAGCAUCAUAGUCAUAACUAGUAGAUAUCAAGGGUCCUCCACUUGUUCUAUCAAAGUUUGAGCCACCGUGAUACUGUACAAGACAAUACCAAAACCAGUUUGGUCAAUAGAGUACAGAAGUAGAACUUAGUACACAAAACUAUUUGGUUCUUGUGUUUAUUACCAUGUAAUAAUUCUGGAAAGUUCCACCUCGUUGGUAAAACCUUGCAACUGCGAAUGCAAGAUCUUCAACUGGUCUGUAAGGAGAAGGAUCUCCAAAACCAAGGAACCUGGUCAUUGUGGGAUAUACAAGAAAGUAAGUUAAAUGCCAAAUUUGGAAACAAACAAAUUAGUAAAAGCAAAAAGAGACUCACCAGCCACUCCAGUUCUCUGUCCACAUCUUGGGUUUAUUAUUUGAGUUAGGAGUGAACUGAUCACAGUAGAAACCAUUGCAUGUGUUGAUCUACCAAACAAACAGCAAGAAUGUCUCAAUCAGAUAGACUAACCACCACACAAAUUUGACACACUACCUAUCCAAGUACUCGCUACUAAUACUACUACUACACUCAAUUAAUUACCAAGUACAUUGGAAUAUUCUUAGAAACUCACCAUGGGCUCAGGUGCAUCUGCUUGCUGACACAUGUUCCACGGUACUCCAGUAUCUAGUGAAAGAGCCAUAGAAGCAGACCACUUGAUAUAACUUUUACCCGCAGCACCAUACGCCGAAGCAAUAUUCCCGUAUUCAUUCUCAAUCUAACACAUCCAAAUAAAGAAAAAAAACAAAAAUGAGAAUCAUAAGAGAUGUUACAAGCUACAUACAACAAGUAGUACUCAGAAUAAUAAUAACCUGCGAGAGAAUAAUAGGACCUCCUUGUGAUGCAUAAAGCUUUUCUUGCUUCAUCAAAUCAACAAUCUUGGUAGUAAAUCUCUGCAUUUCCGCCUACAACACACAAAAACCAAACCCAUCUUUAACAACUAACUAACUAAACUACAACAUAAGAAACAAAAAGUUAAAAGGACACAUCACCAAACCAUUACCUUAAACGGCUCAUUGUCAGUUCGAAACUUAAUUCCUGGUACAAAAUGCAGCCACACUGGGAAACCACUGUUUCACACACACACACACACACACACACAAAAACUCAAAAUCAAUCAAACCAAAGACGGAUUUUAACCAGUAAACCCGAAUUUGUACCCGUAAUUCCAUUCAGCACAGACGUAAGGACCAAUUCGUAGAUGAACAUAGAGACCAGCUUUAGCAGCUAACUUCACAAAUUUCACUAAAUCGUAUCUUCCUUCAAAAUUAUACUGCAACCCAAAAAAAAAAAAAAAAAAUUGCAGAGUCAGAGAAAACUCCAAAAAUAAAGAAAAAAACAAAAAGAACCGAACCGACCUUGUUCUUCUCAGGCUCGUGACCACUCCAAAACACGUACGUCUCUAUAACAUCUAAACCACCGUCUUUAGAUUUCUGUAUAAGGUCCGGCCACAUCUAUUAACCAAAAAAAAAAAAAAAAAAACACAAUUAAAUAAAAAUACAUAAAUAUCAAAAACAGAGUUUUGUUGUUAAGACAGGCUGUCACAUGCGUUACAACAGUGUACAGUUUCUAACCUCAGGAGUACUCCGAGGAUAAUGAAUCGAACCAGAUAUCAGAAUCUUCCUUUUCCCGUCGAUAACUAAAGCACGGUGGUCGUACGUCACAUUCGCCGCCGUCGCCGCCACCACUAUCUGAAGUAUAAGUAGUAACAUCAUCUCCAUCUUCCUUUUUCCUUUAACCAUUUUUUUUUUUUUUUUGCUUUUGACAGAUCAAUUGAUUCCUUCGUUCCUCUUUUUUAAAAAUCAAUAUAUAAACACGAAUUUGCUUGUAGACAGAGACAAAGCAUCGUGUUUUGUCUUUUUUUUUUUUGCUUUUUGUUUGGUUUCACUUGUUGUUGCUUCACCGCUUUGUGUUACUGCAUUAUCUCACAGAAGAAGAAAAAAAGAAAUGUUAGAUUGCUUUCGCUUUCGAUAUGAUAAAUGUAAUUGCUUCACUGUUUGGAUUUGGAUAUGAUUACCACUUUGGUCAAGCGUAGACGCAUUUGCAAUUAUUGCAUCAUCGUCUUCAUCUUCUUCUCGGAUUUUAAUGGCGGGGUUAAGAAGAUUAAAGAGAAGGAUUAGUGUUUUUAAUUAAUUAAGAGUUACGAAGAAGACGUACGCGGGUAUAGUGUUUAAGUAGCCGAGAGAAGAAGCAAGAGUUAAAGAGGAAGAGGGUGAGGAGGAGUAAUAGAGUGUUUCUCAGCGUUGUUUUGUUACGGUGGACCAGAAUGAAUGAUUUUUAAAAUUAGUUGGACAGAAGAAGACACGUGGUGGGUUUAAAUGGUAGAGAAAGCUACGGUGAGGAAGUUGAUGUGACGAAGUAGAAGACAAUGGUUUGUGGUAAGACUCUUGACAUUUUUGUUUAGUUUGGUUUUAUUUUAGAACCAACGAAUAGGCUAAGGUGACUAGUCUAUAUAUUGACCAUCGGAUCAGACCACUCAAUUAAACGAUAUGAGUAGAUAAAAUCUUUAUAUUGUAAGGUUAUAUAGUGUAAUAAUGUACAUAAUAAUUUCAACUGUCCUUAAAUUCCGACAACCACCAUUAUUAAUGAUUGGAAUUAAUAGUAAUUGUUUCGAGAUAUUUUGGAUAUUGCAUAUCCAAAAUUCGUUGUCUCGACUAGAAACAAAAUGUGUGUACUCAAAUAUUGCAUAUCCAAAAUUCGUUGUCUCGACCAUAUACUUAUACUUCAACGAGAAUGUGAUAACUUUUUCGAUUUGAACUCUUCCAUGCAUAUAUAGUUUCUUUGGAAUUGACUCUCACGGCUUUGUAAUAACUAUUUUGAUCAUCUCAAAUUUUGAUAUAAUUUUGGAAAUUUAAACCUAAAAAAAAAUCUAAAACUCGUUCCACAAUAUUUAAAAUACUUUUGUUAUAGGUGUUUCUUAGUACUACUAUGUAACCUUUAAUUAUAAUUUCUUUUUCCAAACAAAAAUAACAUAUAUCAAAAAAAUCUUUAAAAUAUAAUAGAAAUGAUAAGCUUCAUGAUUUAUAUAUAUAAUGGAAUACGCUCUUUAUUUUAUUUUUCUUGAGGUUACAUGUACCAAGCAAAGCCAAAACUUUUGUUAAAAACAAACAAAAAAAAACAGACUGGGAGAUAUUGACAAGGAAGCUAGUCCGAUGAAAUUAAAGACUUCUGACGUUUUAUCGGUAUAUGUAUUUGAAUGGAUAACUUGAUCUUUGUACAUAUCAACACCCUCCAAUGUUAGGUAUAUACUUAGAGUUAGAUCAUUUACAAACACUUGCAAAACAAAAAAAAACUAAACAUAAACUAUAAGCGAGAUAAUGCGUAUGUGUGUGUAUGUGGCGUUAGAAUCGUCACCUUACCAUCAGAUUUGGUGUUUGUUCCAACGACUUAAAUGGAGGAAUGUGAUAACACUGCGUCAUAGAGCUCAGACGCACAACAACAACAUCACCCACUUCAAACCUGCUUUUGUGCUUUCUCUUUUCAACGCACGUCAAAAUUCUAGAAGAAAAAAGAAAUAAAAAAAAGAGAUAUCGAUUUCCAAAUUUUUCAACACGUUAAUAAUAAUUUAUCUGUCGGUGCUUAUAUUAUUUUUGUCGUUUUAUAUUCUCAUUGUUAAAUAAUGUAAGUGUUGUUGGUGUCUAAUUAUUAGGUUUUGUAUAUUUAGAAAAUAAUAGAAUUUGCCUUUUUAAAAAAUAUGAGAAAACAAAGAGGUGUGAUAUAAAUAGUCAACAAGAGCAUUUUAUAGAUAAAAUGAGGAAAAACUUGGAGACAACUAAGAUUUUUACCAAUAACAAAAUUCUAGAUUUUUUACAUAUUUUUUUCGAAAAGAAAAUCAAUUAUUAAGAAGUAGAUUUUCUAAUCUUAUCUACUAUUUAUCACCCUUUUCUACACUAUUUACUAUGUUUCACUUAGUAUAAUUAAGAAAUUAUAUAGUUUUUUGAUAAUUCUAAUGGUUAAGAAGUAGUGACAAGUUGUGUGUUGUUGCUUCUGAUUUGUGUGUUGAUUCAUGUUUCCAAGGUUUUUUUCUUUAUGAAAGUUGAUUGAGUUUGUUAACAUAUGGUAAUUAAUUAAGAGAACGACUAUUUAAUCAUAAAUUUAUAAAUUUGUAAUUUCGAUGGACUUUUACUGAUGAUUCUGGAAAUUAAAAUCCAUUUUAUUUUGGUUGGAAAUACUCACCAAAUUUCAAUUGUUUUUUCUAUUUUUAUUUUGACAUAUCAGGAUCUUAAUCUUUACUAGUUAGCAUUUUGAAAACUAUAUUGUCUUAAAUUUGUGGCUAAUAAGUUAAAACUAGAUGUACAGUUUUUUUUUAAUCCUUUCUUGUAUCGUCGUAUAGAUGAUUUCCUCAUUAAAUUUAACUUUUUUUUUUUCCAAUUGACACUUACGUCAAUGUGAUUUAUAUUUCCAAUUGCCUACAAAUUAAAUUUAAAUUUAUUAACUGUAAUUAAUUUUGUUGUGUUUUGUAAUUUGUUGCUGAUAAAAAUGGUUAUCUUGGUUAAGAAGCUACGUGCAAGAACAGGCCCGAGGCCGGUUUAUACCUUAGAUGAUUUCGAUGAAGAUGGUUCAAGAAAAUGAUCAAGCCAAUGAACAUGUAACCAAACAUAUAAUAAGACAUUUAACUUAUUCAGUGGUUUGAUAUUUUUUUCUGGAAUUGAACUAUCUUCUUUGGAAUCAUUUGAGAUGUAAAACCGGUUAGGACAUAUUCAUACACGUAGCAUCUCUUCCAAGAUAAAAACUUUUAACCAACAAAUCAAACAACACACAACAUUUACAGUUGAUAAAUUAUAUUUGUAACAAAUCGUAAUAAUCACCUAGAUUUAAGAGUAGAGAAAAAAUAAAAAAGUAAAUCUAUAAGAGAACAUCAAUAUAAUACCAAAAGAGACAAAAACAAACUUUUUUUUCAAAAUUUAGCUCAUAAUCAUCUCUUAUAUAGUAAAAAAGAAGUACAUCUAGGAUUUGGAUCGGGUCAAUUAAAAAAAUUUAACCCGAAAUCAGUAAUUGGAUAUUUAGCUUAUGCACUAUCUGAAAAUCUUGGAUAUUACCAGAGAUAUAUUACCGACCAUAAAUGUUAACUUAAAAUUAAAUUACAUUCCUCAUUUGUAGGUCACUAUAUUAUUAAUUGCACCAUUUAGAAAAUCCCUAUAAUCACGUAAUCAUAAAGCAAAACACAAUAUUUAGGAAGCAAUUUAGAUAUUUUCCAUAUUCAACUACAAUUAUUUCCUAACAUAUUUUUAUGAUUGUGUAAUCAAAUAUUACGAGUAUAAAACCGAAGAUUAAUGCAAUUAAUUAUUGACUUCUCACGUUAUUAACUAAGGUACUACAGUUAGAUACUAACUAAGUUCAAUAAAAUUGGACUAUUAUAUGGUUAAUGUGUAUGCUACAAGAAAUACACUUGCAAACAAAUAAAAUUAUAACAACAAAAAAAUUACUACAACAAACAAAAAUUUUAAUAUUCAAAGACACUCGGUUACUAUAAUUUUAGUAAUUGCAAUAUCAUAUAUAAAACAAAUAAUAGCGAAAUUAAUACACAAGAUUCGUUGGUUUAUACAAUAUAUAUAAUCAUCUUUAUAUUAGACGGUUAGUUAAGUUUUCUGAAAUACUAGCUAAUUUUUAAUGUAUGUUUCUACAAAAAAUAUUAAAUAAAUUAAUGCAACAUCACUAAUUUUUUUUAUAGUGUGUAAAACAUAAAAAAAAAUGAAAAUUUAAAAAUUUCCCCCGCGCUUUAGCGUGGGUCCGAUUCUAGUUUUUUGAGUCAAAUACCAAAUAUCAUAAUCAUUAAAUGUCAAAAUUUUAUAACAUAAGCGAGAUAAUCAAUUGAAAGGUGAGUCUUCAAACUAAAACAAAAAGGGUUCUUGUGAUCAUCGACAAAAUCCAUCAAGUUCAGAUUUCAUAAUUUAGAAUUAAAGAUUCGUUUUCUCAAACUCAUAUCACAACAAAGUUAAUAUUGUUGCACUCUUGUGCCAAGUAUGAGAAGAACAAACCCCCCAUAAAAUCAUGUAUUUGUAAAAAAAAACUUGAUAAAAGCAUUGAAAACAUAAAGCAAGUAAAUCAUAAGCACACAAACCCCACAUAUAACUACUUAUAUCUAACUAGUAAAAUUAAAAAAAAAAUCACUAUACUAUUUUCUAGUUAUAUUCAAUGAAAAUAAAGUAAAAAAAAAAAAAGAUGAUAAAAAAAUAAGACUGACCUUAGGAUUGUCGUCCAAUCGAGGCAACGAUUGGGCACGAGACAAGUACCCCGAUUGUUUUCCUAACCCGCAAAACUACUCGCAAUGACUUGAUGCCCGUUAAUUACAGCCAAUGUCAUAUUAAAUAAAACUUGUAUGAAUUUCUUUUUAAGUUAAGAAAUCAUAACUAAUGAACCUCACAAUUGUGAAGUCCAAUAUUGAUAUGUGUUACAAUACAUUUGAAGUCUAUAUUUAUAAUGAAAAAAUUAUGUCUUGUGUAGUCUUUUAGUCGAUGUGGGACAUUAAACUUUUUUUUUAUUAGCGAACAAAGCUACAUAUUCAUUUAACCGAAAAACCGAAAGCCCAAGCCAAAUAUAUGAGGCCUUUUCUAUUUUAAUGAAAAUAUAAUUAUUUUAUACUUUUAUUUUUAUCAAAUAAAAAAAUUCUUAUAAGAUAAAAAUAAAAUUUAUAAGUUCAUGAGGCUUUUUCUAUUUUUAUCAAAUAAAAAAAUAAAAACAGGUAAUGAAAACCUAACAAAACCAAAUAAUCAAAAUAAAUUUAAUAUUUGAUACUUGCUUCAUAUUAAAAGUAUUUUAUUUUUCGUAACGUCUUAAUUAGCAUUUCAAAUACUUAUUUUUCAAAAUAGGUGCAAAUAAACAACUAGAGUAUGAAAUGUGUAACAAUUAUUUUUGCUCAGCUCUAAUGAAACUGUUAUUUAUUAAACAAAUUAACGACGGUUGAUUAAAAAAUUAGAAUUCGUCAACCUCCUUCCUCCCCUCAUCCUUUGUAAAUAUUGGAACGAAGCUAAUCUUUUAUGUGUUACCCUAUACGGGUUAACCAAAAUUCGAGUAAAAAAAUGUCGGGAACAGAUGAUCCCGACAUUAAAAAAGAAUAGAAUAGUAGAAAACAGUAAAAAUGUCAAAAUGAGAGUCUUAGGGAUAGUUGUUGAUGUCGUUGUCGUUGUCCCAACUAAAUAAGCCAACAAGAUGUGACGCGCGUUUCCAUGAAUCGUCCGUGUUUGGUACUAUUGGCGUAUCGACCUCAAUGCUCUCAAUCUCAUCAUUUACAACAACUCGCUCACCUAUCUUUUUUUUCAUUGUUUUACUCUUUUUUUUUUUUAUAUUUUCUAUGUUUUUGUUAUUAUUCUUUUAUAACAUGUCAAUCGUAUGCAAAUCAUUUUACCUAAUCCAGGAUCCGUGAAGUCAUCAUAUAAGUUCUGUGAUGUUUUGAAUUCAUAUUAGUUGAUACUAUUUGCAUGUCUUUUCUUUGAAGUCUCUUGGAUCAAUUAACACAACAUGCAAUAUAUAGAUUUAGGAUCGUACACAUUUCUUUCUAUUAGAGAGUUUUAUCACAUCACACUCACACAUGUCAUGUUCACAAGUCGUUUUUGUUUACUUUUCUUCUUCUACUUGAACCUGAUUCUCAUCCUCAAAUUGGAAAGAUUUGGACGCUGGCAAAAGAUACCUAUGAAAACAAACAGAAAAUAUUUAAGACUUGUAUAUGCCAUAAGAAGUUAUUUUAUGAUACUCAUCCAAAACUUGUUACGUCCAAUGUUGUUCUUGUAUCACAUAUUCAAAUUCGCAUUCGCAUAUUGUAUGUAAUUAACCAAAGAAGAACAUUUCGGAGUCAUGUGUAAAUGGAACUUUCUUACAUUAUGGGUUUGGUAUACAUUUUGUAUAUUAAUAGAACGGUUUUAAGUUUUAAUACCAAAAGUUUCUUAUAUAUCCAAUUUGUGUCUAGUUUUCAAGUUCCGACAACUUUUCCUUUGAAGGAGGAGAAGAAGAAGAACCAUUAUCUAAUUUACAGAGCUCUUCAUCUUCAUCUUCGGAAUUAGCAUCAGUGUCCGAACAACUAAGAUAAAGCUCAUUAUGAUGAUGGUUACGUGAUUCCGAUGGAUAAUCAUCCAAGAUAGAAAGAGGGUUUCUGUUAUUCGGGUCAUCGUAAAGAGCAACAUGCCUGUAGUAUAGUUCAAGUUCCUUCUCUGCAAUUGCUAUGAAGUGUCUCACCGAUUCAAGAGAUUGUUCGUACUUUGAUCUUUCAUAUGCCUGCAAGAGGAAACAUAACCAUGUUAGGAACUAGUAACCAAAACAUAUCCCGAAUCAAAUGAGUAGACUUCAGAAUGAUAAAAGUGAUCUCUAAUUACCCAAACAGAACAGAAACAAAAGAUAUUCUCUGAUAGAUUUGUCCUGUGAUUUCUAUUAAACACGCUACUCGAGUGAAAUGUUUCAACAACAUUAAGGUUUCUAGUUUCAAAAUCCUAAAUGCACAGAGCCUAAGGCAAGUAAGGUUUUACUUCCUAUCCAUUCUACAGUAAGAUGUCCCAAAACAAAAGGACAAUAUGAGGACUUACCCUUUUCUUUGAUAAUGUAUCGAUUGGAGACAUAAUUUGUGGCUGCACAUAACCCUUCCCUCUAUAAAAUAUGAUUGUAUCAUCGCCAAUUAUGUUAACAGGCACACCACCACUAAGUUUGGCAAGCUCCUCUGCAUAUUGCUGCACUUGUCCUGGCUUACUAUUAUUGCAGAUAACCUUAACAGUUUCGUGUUUUUUCCAAUGCAGAUGCAUGUUUAGUAUAACACCCCCAAAUACUCCUCUUCUCCCAAUUGGUACAUAAUUAGACCUUUUCUGACCCAUUUUCUUCAAGUAGAACCGUUCUUCCCCGGUAAUCUCAUGGGGUCGAACCUCAGGCCCCUGCACUUUCGCAACUUCAUACCGUUUCAGUUUCUCAACCAGCAACGCUUCUUUGAUCUUUGCCUGAUACAAAAGAGCAGCACCGAAAAAUAAAACACAUCAAAAUGAACCUUCAACUCAUCAAACUCAUAGGUAUUGUUAUCGAAUUAGACUCUCACCGACCUUUUCAAGCUUGUACGUUAUUCUUUCCUCCGGGUUAGCAAACUUCUUCUUCUUCCCUUUGACAGUAAGUCGCCGAGGGUCUUUCCUGUUAGCUGCAUUCCUUUCCUCUCUUUCUUUCUUCCUUUUCAGCUUCAGCCGCUUUUUCGUCAACCACUUAUACUUCUUGGGAGGAUCAAGUUCCCGAGUUUCAAACUUUGGUUUCCCUUCUGAUAUCACUAGAUUCACAGUACCCUGACUGAAACUUCUACAUAUAGGCCUUGAGAUCGUUGUUGGUAAAAUGAAUAUUAAUGUUGAAUAAGAAAGCUCUUGGCUUUGCGGAAGCAACCUAGUUGGGAAAAUAUCGACAUGAGUAUAAUCACAUUUUGGACAAAAACAUUACCAAACUAUGUUGUAUAUAGUCUCUUAGAUACACAAACCUGGAAGAAAUGAGAAGUGGAUAUGAAGAUUUAAGUAGAGAUGAAGCUUUCCGAAACCCACGAGCAAAAGCAAUUGCCAUAAUUUUAGCUUAAAUCGUCUCAAGAUUCGAGCUUUUUCAUCUAGUCUGCUACAAUAAUCAAAACGUUUUAGAAUAGCAUUUAUCUAAAGAUAACCAAAUCUAAGAAGCAUUUCAUCGAACAAGUGGUGAGCAAGCAUACACUACGAAAUAACAAAAAUUUACUACAAAAAUACUUAGAAAAUUGGAUACAUUCAAAAGAGAAUGAUUAGAAGAGUAGAGAUUCAUGAAGUACACUGAUUUCUUCCUGGCGCCGUGGCUUAGUGAACCACUGACCUGUUUCGCCGGUGGUGGUGGUGGUGGUGAUAGUUCGGCGAGAGAGUGAGAACCAAAGAAGAGAGGAGGAAGAUUUUUAUCUUUGGGCCUGGGAAACCAAUAAGCCCAUUGGGUGGUUGAUUUCUUGAAAUAAAAUAUGGGCUUAGUCAAGGGUAUUAAUGCUCAUUUAGUGUUUAUUUAAUUGUAGUUGCAUCAAGUUUUUCAAUUUUAAGAUAAUUAUUUUCUUAAUUUUACAACUAAAAAUAUAUUUGUAAGUGAAAUUAAAAAUAUAUAUCUAUACCUAUUUACUAUUUUCAUGAUAAUUUUUUAUUUGUAUUAAUAAAAAUACAAAUCUAAGCAAUUUUUCUUCAUUUUAUAAAUUUUUUUGCAUAAUCACAUAAAACACAUCACUAUGCUUAUAAUUAAUACAUGAUUACAAGUUUACAACACAUGUUUUAAAAAUAAUUGACCUAAAACACCAACAAUAAAUUUUGUUUUUGAUUACAAGUGAUUACAAGUUUACAACACAUGUUCUGCAUCGAUCAUGGAAAGCCACAGAUCAACACACGGGGCUAGGAUGGUAUUGCCAGAACUCACAGAACAUACCACCGGCUAGGGGGGCCAAACUACCAAAAGAAGUCUUUCUCCCCUCCAUGCAGAAGUCGAAGCACUUGUUUGGGCGAUGCGCUGCAUGAUUGGACACAACUUCAGAGAGAUUAAGUUCUAUUCAGACUGUUUCGAUUUGGGGAAGAUGGUGUUUUCUUCAAAAAGUUUUUAGCUUCAGAUUUUAUAUUUUUUUGUAAUUAAAAUAUACUAAUAAACUUGUUAAGAAAUUUUCCUUUGGAGAUGUAAUCUUACAAAAUUUACAGAGUACGUGGUUUAUAGUUCCUAUUUCCUAAGCAACUUAGAUUUACAAAUCAAAUAAAAAUUUGCUCAAAAAUAGAAUUGUUGCAACACAAAAAAAUGAGAUAAUUAUUUCUGUUUAGGACGACCAAGGAAAAUCAAUUAAAUGACAAAUAUUAAAUGGUACAAGAGAAGGACCAAGAAGACAGAAGGAUAUUUCUCUUUCACUUCUCUGCCUCGGGAAAUAGAGGGAAGUGAGAGAGUUCUAGAGGAAAAAGAAUGAAAAAUGGAGAUAGUUUUUUUUCCCUUUUGCAUUUUUUUCUUCAACCAAUGAAAUGUGACGCGGAAACAACUGUGCGACGUAGCGUUGUUUCCGCGUUCCUUUCGUUGCCUAUCUUUUCUUUUCUUGCUGGGCCUUUUUUCUUCAUUUAACAUUAAUGCCUGGCCCAUUUUUAAUUUAAGCAACUUUGUAAAAACGACUAGUGGAGCUGGUCUAACAAGAUAAUUAAAGUGUUGUUCCCUCAUCAUCAUACUCGCAUACCACAAGAGCUUCACAUGCCGGAGAGCCAACUAAACAUGAUACAUGUGAAUAAUUAACGUCCACAAGUCUUGAGAUUCUGAUAUUUAUAUCAGAAAGACACUUCUUUGUAUAAAUCUCAUAGAAAAUUCAAAGAAGCUGGACCAGAGUAGCCUAGACAUUGCUCUCACGUCUAAUCCAGAUAACUAUCGUGGUCGUGGCCUCCCAACCGUACCGUAAUAAAACACGUUUCAAGUGGACUCCAAAUAGCAUAGAAGUAAAGAAAAUGAGGAACAUCAAAUGUUAAUGUAUUCUACCUUUUUAGAGAGGGUAACUAACAAUAGUUUUAAAACUAUUAUAAGUAGCUAGUAUAUAUGCAAGACGACAUAGUGCCUAAAAGACAAACUAUCACAUGAUUCACAUAGAUGUGGAGAUGCCAAAUAUGUUAUACUGAUUAGAAAAAGUGCAUUUAGUGAAUAGGGUUUGUACGUAGUUGAAUCUGAUAAGUAUAUCUAUUGGCUUUCAGAUAAGGUUUGGUUUGUAUGAUCUUUGGCAAAAGCUCAAAUAUCGCCGAUUCGAAUAACGCUUGGACAACACCAUAUAAUAUGCUUUGAUUUCGGGACUGAGGGGAUAUAUAGGUUUCGAUCGUCCAGAACCUCUUUGAUUAUUCAAAAAAAAAAAAAAAUCUAACUAGGAUAUCUAUUUACUAUCGAGAAGAGAACAGAGGAAGAUUUAUAAAUCAGACCUUCAUUUUUUUUUCUAGCUUUCUAUCCCUAACUCUUUUAAUUUGUUGCUAUUUAAAUAAAAUAAAAUAAAAACUGAAAAAGGUAAUAAUCCUCUUAUUAGGAUGACGUGUAUACUUGUUUUUGGAAAUAAAUUGGGUACAAUGUAAAAUUAUCACAACAUUAAAAAAAAUCCAAAAAAGUCAAAUCACGAUUCCUUUAAAUUUCCUUAAUUUGGUUUUCUAUUUCACAUUCCAGUUUCUUUGUAUAAUAAAGGAAGGAGAGGCGAGGGUUAACGCACAAGAACUUAAGAUUUAAGAUAUCUCUCUUCGAACUAAAGGUAUCUCUCUCUCUGUCUCUCUCUGAUUGGAUGCGUUUUCGAUUUCACAGACAAGGGUUUGUCUGAUUCUAGUAGUUGCUACGAUAUAUUCUUUUUGUUCUCACAACAGUAGACUUAAUCUUGUUUGGUAGAUUUGGUAGAUGGAAGACCAAAAGCAACAUGAACAUAAGAAGCAACGUGACUCCGAAGAAAGCCAUGAUCAUCACCAUGUGGUUCAGAUUUCAAUAGCAGAGCCAAACUCAGUUCGUGCAGUCAAGAAGACAUGUGGAGAAGCUCCUUGCGGGUUUUCUGAUGCCAAGACGAUUUCAAGAGACGCUGCAGAACGAGCAGCAUCUACGAGGAAGCUGUUGGUGGCUGUUGUGCUCUGUGUCCUCUUCAUUACCGUCGAAGUUGUUGGAGGGAUCAAAGCCAACAGUCUUGCCAUUCUCACUGAUGCCGCUCACCUUUUUUCCGAUGUUGCAGCUUUUGCCAUCUCCUUGUUCUCUCUAUGGGCUUCUGGUUGGGAGGCAACCCCACGCCAGUCCUAUGGUUUCUUCAGGAUCGAGAUCCUUGGUGCUCUUGUAUCCAUCCAGAUGAUUUGGCUUCUUGCUGGUGUCUUAGUCUACGAAGCAAUUGCUAGACUUCAUAACGGUAGCGGUGAAGUUCAGGGCUCUCUCAUGUUCCUUGUCUCUGCAGUUGGUCUCCUAGUCAAUAUUGCUAUGGCUGUUCUGUUGGGACACGACCACGGUUGUCACAGUCACAGUCACGGUCACGACCAUAGCCAUCACCAUGAACAUGAACACGAUCAUCACCAUGAUGAUCCACAUUUAUCUGAAGCCUUUCUUGAUAAGAGUGAGAAGAAGAAGCAGCGUAACCUAAACAUUCAAGGGGCUUAUCUACAUGUGGUGGGAGACUUAAUCCAGAGCAUUGGAGUGAUGAUAGGAGGAGCAAUCAUAUGGUACAAACCUGAGUGGAAGAUCAUUGAUCUGAUAUGCACUCUUGUUUUUUCAGUGAUUGUGUUGUGGACAACAAUAGGCAUGUUGAGAAACAUUAUAGAGGUUUUAAUGGAGUCAACCCCACGAGAGAUAGACUCAACUAGGCUGGCGAAGGGAGUGUGCGACAUGGAAGAGGUGGUGGCCGUUCAUGAGCUUCACAUUUGGGCAAUCACUCUUGGCAAAACUCUGUUGGCAUGUCACGUGAAGAUCAAGCCAGAGACUGAUGCAGAUAUGGUUCUUGACAAGGUUAUUGACUACAUCAAGAGGGAAUACAACAUCAGUCACGUUACAAUUCAGAUUGAACGCUAACUAGUUUUAAUAUUGUUUUAAUUUUUAGACAUUCAUAAAAGAGUUCUAUUUAAGACACAAAUCAUAAAUAUUAGACCAAUAUUUUAAUUAAAUUUGAUUAUUAUAUUCUAAAAUUAAUUUUGAAGAAUUCUUUAGUUCACCAUUGUACAUGCUCUAAUGAUGCUUCUGAGGUGUCUUGUAUUAAUGAAUUUUUAUAGUCUCCUUUGUUUUAGUUUUGACUGAGAUAGGGAUCACUUAAUCUUCUGCCUCCAUUCUAGUGUAAUCAUCAUCAUCAAAUUAGACCUAACAAAAUAUUUAAGUAAUGGGGCCUUCAUUUACAAUAAUUUAUCAUUUAACAAUAAAGAAAAAUUGUAUCUCAUGGUCUCCGUUGACCUUUUUAUUAAGAUAAUAGUUUUGGUAUUUUGCUCUUUUUUGGAGCAUGUGCAUCAGCGAUAAUACACAUCGUCCCACACAAUUUAAUUUUCAAAAAUAAAUCCAAGAAAAAAAAAUGGGAGACGUUUCUUAAUUGGGGACGUCAUUUGCUUUGUUUCUUUAGUAUUCGCGGGUUCCAAUGACACGUGGCGGUCUGUGAUUGGUUGACUUUUAAAAAUAAAAUAAAAUCUAAAGACAAUUUUUGUCCCACACCAAUGCAUAUGGUCUGACCAUUUUAAACCUAGCUUGCACCUAAAAGCAUAGGGUAUUGAUUUGGCUAAUGAUUUUUUAACAAGAUUUUUUUGCUGAUUUUAUCUUAUCAAUUUGAGCCUUCUUUCGAUUUGAGCUUAUUCAGCAAGGGGAAGUUGUUUGUCUUCUGACAUCGGUGGCUCUGUUUAGCACCGUUUGGUGAGCAAAAUUUCCAGCACCGGUUGGCUUCUUCCGCGACGGUUGCUGGCUACGUCUCCAUCGAUUCGUCUUUCAACGAUUUGUAUGGCUUGUGUCCCGGCUUUUGUCGGAUUUUUUUUUUCGCACUAAGGGCUAACAGUCCAAGGAAAUAUGGAGGGCUAAGCUAUUCAACCAAUGAUGUCGGUACAGUUCUUGCUAUCUUAGAUAUGCAGAACAUUCUAGCUCUUGACGUCUUUGUGUUUUAGUGAUAAGAAUUUUUGAAAAUGAUGAUAAGCCGCCGAAGAGAGACUGAGAGACAACAUGUGUGACAGAAACCAUUUAAAAGCCAAAAACCAUGCAACAGGGGAGACCAACAUAACAUGCUUAUUAGUGCUUACCUUUAUUAUUACUGUUAUUUCAAAGUAACAGAAAAAAAAAAACAUACAUCCAUACAUACUCAUGGUUAACUACAUUCAUAACAUUCAAAAAGAAAAAAACUUUCCGCAGCACAUUCGUCUAAAUACGGCUACGACCGAAACCAUUGCGUAUAGUUUGAUCUACAUAUGCGGGGGAGCUGCCGAUGCAGUGGGAAGGAUAACAGCUUCUCUCUGAGCCUCGACGAACCGCCUCAUCGUCUCUUCAUCGACUCCGAAAGCCAUGGACAACGACGUCAGAUUUAGAGUCGUUAGCAGCGAGUUCGAUCCUACUAGGAACUGAGGCCUGUUCUUGUGAGCCGAAGUUGUGAAUCCUACAAACUCGAAUGGCGCGGUCCGAGAAGCGAUCUGGCAAAAGGCGAAGUAGCGAGGGAUCCAGAAAACAUCGCCUACGGAGACUCUCAUGUUCAUCGCAGAAGUUCCGUUUGGAAAUACGACUUGGAUCUCUCCAGAGCCGGCCAAAACAAUACCAUAUUCCGUGGCUGUCGGGUUCAUAUGUGGUGCCAUCAUUGAUCCCUGACAAAAUAUAUAGAAACUUGGCCGGUUAAUACGGUUUUGCUAUUUUUUUCUAACCAAACCAACCUUGCGAUCAGUAGAUCUUAAGACGGUCUAGUUAUCCAAGAAUUACAUAAUGAACUUAUCUAGAGUUAAUUAGUGACAGUCUACAAGUGAUAUUCAAAGACAAAAAAAAAUAGCUAGAUUGUUGUUAAUCAACUCAGAGAUACAUGAAUCAUACCGCGGUGAGAUUUACGAGAAAAACACCGAUCCCAGAGUGUUUAAGAGGCUCGUAAUCUUCAUAAUCAAGAGCUGUACUCCAUCCAAAGUCGUUUUUAAAACUAGGUUUCUGAUCAUAAAUGUUGUACGAGUCCUCGCACUCAGAAGAUCCCGACCCUUUAUUCUUUUCUUCUAUUAAAUCCAUAAACGAUUUUAUAAUAGUCCUCCAAGACCACCCUGAACUGUAUUGUUGGUCUUGAGGGGAUCCUUGUUUCAUCUCCAAUAGUUUCUUGAGAUACCUUUGUUUCUCUUCCCCUUUUAAGCCCAAAAAUUGGGUCCAUAUCGUUGGUUGUGGACCUUGUCGUGGCCCUUCUGUGACAUGUACAAUUGGGCCACGGAAUUGACUCCUCAUCAUUUGUUGCAGCUCUGGUCGAGAAACCUAUAAGCAUAAAAUUGGUAUGAGACUUAGAUUAACAUAAGGAGCCCUAACUAGAUACUAAUAUGGGAGUUUCAAACACCAAUUUCUAACAUUCCUAUAAGAUGCAUUUGUGCAUAUAAUAUUCGUAUAACAAUGCUAUAGAAUAUUAGUACUAUGGCUUUGUACAUUUUCAUCUUGGGAGACAAACAAUGAAAACAUUAUACGUAUUUAGGGUUUGAGUGUACUAACGUUAAGUGCUGAAGUUAAAGUGUCGGGAUCAAAGCCGGCGAGAACAGAGGACGGUCCUCCACCGAUAUAGAAAGGCUACACACAGAAGCAACAAGUUAGCCAAACGCAAAGUUCUAUAAGUCAAUGUGAUAAUAAUGAGUCUAAAAUGUUAAAGUACUUGGAAGGUUUCGAAACCGAGGCUUUGGGUUGGGUCUAUGCUGCAAAUGACAUGAAGGCGUUGGCCUCGGCCUAUGUUUUGUAAAUAAAAGACAGAACCAGCUGGAAUCCAGUAGAUGUCUCCUGCUUUCAAUCUCCUCUCUCCGAAUUCGUCUUUGCAUAUUACUCCAAGAGUAGCUUCACCUGCAAGUAAACACAUGUUGAGAGAGUGAGACACACACAUGACAUGACACAUGUUGAGAGAGCGAGAGGGAAAGAGAGAUAGAGAUACCUUGACGGAUGAAGAUGAGGAGGCUUGAGUCAAGAUACUGAGGGACAAAGAGUGUUUUAGGUUCCAUUGUCAGAAACCCAAUGUGCAUUGGCUUCUCAAUGAUUCUUCCUCUUGGAGAUAUCACAACUCUCAUCUCUCCACCUUCUGAUUUGAUCACUUGCCUUGACUCUCUCAUCAUGAACCAUCCUCUUCUUCCUCCUCCUCCUCGUCCUUGUCCUCCCCAAUCUCCUCCUCCUCGUCCUUGUCCGCCCCAGUCUCCUCCUUGUCCUCCUUGUCCUCCCCAGUCUCCUCCUCCUCCUCCUCUUUGUCCUCCCCAGUCUCCUCCUCCUCCUUCUCCCCACCCUUCUUCUCCUUCAUACCCAUUAGAUCUCAUCAUCAUUACUCCAUGGAUAAGCACCAAGAGAAGUAAGAACCCAAAAGUUCUAGAGUUUUUCGCCAUUUUUUCCAACCUUUCUGAUGAUUCACAAUGUUCUGCUAUCUUUGUAAGAAGGGUGCAUGCAUAUGUGUUAAGUAGGAUGAAGAAGAACGACACGUGUGCGACAUGCAAAAAUUUGGAGCCUUUCGUGUCUACUACACUCGGUGUCUUUUAUAUGCGUAAACGUUUUCUUUCCACCACCUCUCGUUUCAUUGUUUCAUAUGGCUUCAGAAAUAUUUAUAAAUUAUUCGGAGUUGGAGAUCAAAUCAUUUUUUUCUCUUAGAGUCAUAGAACAUGUUAAAGAGUCAUGGAAUAUUAUAAAAUUUAAUAUAACUUAUAAUUUUUUCCUAAUCUCAAAAAACGCUGAAUCUGCUUAGUUAACGUGAUGAUCAUCAUCAUUACAUCAUCAUCAUCAUAAAAAAUGAUUUGAUCUCCAUCUCCAACCAUCAUUGAUGGUUUCAAAUCAUAAUACGUAAUGGUCUUGAAACAAAAUCUUAAAUUUUGACAUUACAUGAGACAGCAUCAUAGAAGCGAAGCAGUCAAUAUUUUUGUUUUCUUCAAAAAGAGCUUGAAAAUAAAUAAUUUGAGAAGAGGAGAGACACAUAUAUACUUAGGUGUCAAUGUGUGGAGGCAUUUCUCAUGCAUUAAACACAUACAAAAUAUUCUUCUUAUAGUAUGUAUAUAUUAAAGUGUUGGUCUAUAUAUAUAGCUUUAAGUAUUUUAAGCCUCUCUACACUCCAACAAAGUUACCACAUCGAGGCACAUUCACAAUUGCUUUCAUUUUCGUCAGCUCACUCUUCUAAAACGUUUUCAAGCUUCCAACUAUUAGAUCUUCGUCUUCUCUGGCUUCUAUAUAUUGUAUCUUUAGCUUAAAGAGAUUAAUGAAGAUCAUCCGGAAAGAUAAUAAGCCCAAUGAGAUCAAAUCAGAAAAAGAGAAUAGUAUAUAUAUAUAUAUAUAUAUAUAUAUAUAUAUAUUUAAUUUGACCAAAAAUUUGUUUUAGUCCAAAAUCCAUUCUUGCUUUCAUAGAUAGCUCUAAAAACAUUUAUCUAAUGUGUAUGUGUCUAGGUAAAUUUCGAAGCUCACGGCUAAACUUCAAGUGCAAUGAUGGUCAACCUUAAGAGCAGUGUCCUUAACUAAGUAGAUACAUAUCUUGGCAAUGAUAUGAAAGAUGCAAAUACAUAUAUGCAAAGCCAAACUUACAUACAACACGUAGAAGCCUAUAAACUGAACAUACAGACCAAAGAAACAUAGAAAAAUGAGAGAAAGUAAAAAGUGCUAUUUAUGAUGAUUGAUGAUCAUAUUUUCACGAUGGUAUGAUGAUUGUAUGUUGAUGAGAUGAUGAUUGUUAAAUGGAUGAAAUAGUAAUAUAUUUCAUUUUGAUUGGUUUCAACAUGAAAAGAAAAGAAAUGAUGGGGUGAAAUGGUUAAUCAUUUACCUAUUUUAUCACCUAACUAAAUUGACACAUCAACCCAUUAGUAUGGGACUCAUUGCAAAUAAAUGGGUUUGAAUUGGACUAAAUUUAUGAACUGUCUCCUUUAUAACUUGGGUACAAAUUAUAAACACCAUAUUAAUAAUUAUUAAACAAAGGCCUUUUACAAGUAAUGGGCAUUACAUGAGCACGUUACGUUGUAAUUGUAUUCUCAAAUUUGGUUACUAAAGUCUAAGUUUUGGCUACAGUAUAUAAAGGAUAAUAAUUUCAGUAAAACGCAAUAGAGUGUUGGUUUUUUUUGUUGGUGUGUGAAAAUAAACAUGUAAUUUAUAAUCUGUAUAAGAGUUUAGAGUAAUAAUAUAUAGUCAAAAAGGGAAUUGAAAAGGUAAAAAUUUGAGAUAGGAAGAAAAACAAAAGUUAAACUAAUCAUCAAAUCAACUUUUUUCUUGUACGGUGCGGAUAAAUCAAUUCACAGUCAUAUUCAGCUUACAGACAGAAGAAGCACUCAGAUAGAUCAAAAGACAAAUAGUAUUUAGUUAAACCGCGUUGUUUCUCAAAUGCACAACAUGUCUCAGUCUCCAAGAAAAUUAUAAAAUUUAUGUAGUAAUAGUAUUAUAAUUAUAGUUUUUUUUCUAAAAUUAUAGUUUAAGUAGAAAGGAGAUUAGAUUGAUAUUGUCAAGAUAACAUUUGAAGUUUCUAUAAUCUCGAGGAGAAGAAAAGUCACACGGAUGAAAAAAGAGAGCUAAUUAACUAGUUUUGGUCGCUUGUCCAAAAACAUUGUGUUGAAAGGUUUCAAAACUCUUUACUUGAAAAAGGAAUAAGAUAGAUUGUUGAAUUUUUUUCUUGUGUCAACGAAAGGUGAAGUAUAAUUACCCUAUAUUUGAUAUUUAGACGAGCCAACAAUUUACAUAUAUAUCGACGAAUCAAAGUUGAACCCUUUAUAUAUGAGAAAAAAAGAAAAUAUAGCUAUAAAAAAAUGGUUUAGCUAAUUUUGUGAAGGACAUAUUUGAUUCGAGUAUUUUAGGACUUCGAAUUAGAUUUUUGGAUUCUGAGUAUUUUGACCAUCCCUAUUCUAAAUCAUGAUUUUUGUUAAAUAAAUUAGAUGUCUAUGUGAAUAAUUAAUAUGUUAUUCCAACAAUAUGUUUAUUAUGCGAGUCUCAUAUAUCUUAGAUGAUGAUGAAACGUCAACAUUAAGACAAAUCACUAGACUUGCAUGUUUUGGUUGUAUCGCAGAAAUUAUAAGUGAGAAAAAUCGGCCGAACAAUAGUUAAGUCACGUUAUUGUGAUUUCUUUUUCUUAAGUAUCAUUUUCCAACCUUUUCUUAUUUGUCGAUUACUCUUUAAAAUGCAUUAAGAAUAUAUAGAAUAUUUGUUUCAAACUUGUUGAUCAUAAUGACAGUGACAAAAUCUAAACCUGAUCAAAGCAUAAUGCUACAAAUUAAGGUCUACAUCGAGUAUAAGGCUACUUGAUAUUAUAACUCAUGUUCCAUUACAUUAAUGACUAAUCAUUUGGUCUCAUUUUGCUGACCAGGAAAAAAAAACAUUUGUCCUCAAUUUUGAACUCUUCAUGCAUAUUUGAUAUUUCACGUAAUGUCUUUCUGAUUGUCUUGCAGCUUAAUCAUUUAUAUCAUAUAAUUUCUUUCUUUCUUUUUUCUUUUACAAAAUUAUUAGAUUAAUAAACUACAACUAAGAGUGGAUAACUCUAAUUAGUAAAGACUCCUUAAUCAAGUCUAAAUGUCUAUGGUUUGAAUAGCGCUUAUUAACUAAUCAUAUCAAAUACUUUGAUUUUUGAUCCGAGAAGAUAUACGAAUCUAAGCAAAAAACUUCUUAGUUAUUAAAAAAAUAAAAGUUUUCUACUAAAAAUCUUAAAACCCUUUGGCAAAAAAAAAACUACUUAGUUCAUUUCUUUUAAUCAUCCUCUAUUUUUAUUUUCAUUUUCACUUAGUUCAUUCUCUUUAUCCAAGAAUAAAACAUAUGUAAAAUGUCGCUAAAAUUUGUAGUGAAUACUUUAGUUUUGUAUAGUCAAAAUGAAUUGUCUUUGAUGUUUACUUUGCAAAGUAUAUCUAUUUUUAAUCUAUUGAUCACUUUAUUCUUAUAAGAAGAAUAAAAAGAUCAGAAUAUGAAUAGAACAAUGUGGUUUGGAUGCAAUGAGAAAAGAGAAUAAUGCAAAUACUUAAAAAAGGCUGCGCCAUUUUAAUUCAAGUUUGGCAUUGUCCCCUUCACACGCUUAUCAUUUUGCACUUGCAUAUAUCUACUUCGAAGACUGAGAAAAGCUAAAAGGAAAUGAAAAACGAUGAAUACUUUUCUUUUUUCUUUUUCAACAAUUACGAGUAAUGAAAAUAUUGAUUAAUUUUUCGUAUUAUAUGUUUGACAAACUACUCAAACCGUGUGCUCGUGUGGCCACUAUAGAUACGUGCACCACAAAAUUGGCUGCGAACACUCUUGUAGAAAAGUAAUACUAAUUUUAUAAUAUAUACUACAAGAAAACAUUAUUAGUGACUACAAAAACAGUUAUUAGUCAAUUGCUAAGUAACAUAAUACAUUAAACAACGUAAUCGCCAAACCAUGCGUCGCUAAAUUACUUGGUCGUACAACAGUCGCUAUUAAGUAAUAAGAUAAUGGUCAUUUGGUCGCAAUAUUUAGUGACUACAUUUUCAAUCGCAAUAUGUAAUCGCUAAAUAACUGUUUUCUUGAAUAUAAAUUAAUUUGUACCCUUUGGAUGGACAAUAGAUUAAGAAAGACAGAUGAGUUUAGACUUUGUCGUGGUAUGAGUUUAAUUCGAGUAAGAACCGAAUCUAAUAAAGUUGUAAGAGCUUUCAUACAAAUAAUUUGUGUGUUUAGUCUUGUUGGCGCGUCGUAUUCACCAUUCCAUUUCUUGGUUCCACAUGUUUUUAGUUUUCUUUAAACGAGUCUAUCAAUAGUCCAACAUGCCACGGUUAACAAUGUAACAUAUCGUCUAAAACUAUACUUAUCAAUAGUCCAACAUGCCACGGUUAACUAGUGGCGGAGCUAGGAAAUCAGAUCAUGAGAGUCAAAAACAAAUUAUAAUAAUUAAUUGUGUUAUUAAAAAAUUAUAGAGGUCAAUUGUGUUAUAUUACAAGGGUCAAUUUUUUUUCCUAAAAAUUUAUCAAAUUUGAAAAAUUCACCAAGAGUCAUACUUCUACCUUACCUCCGCCACUGCGGUUAACAAUGUAACAUAUCGUCUAAAACUGUACUAAUCAAUAGUCCAACAUGCCACGGUUAACAAUGUAACAUAUCGUCUAAAACUGUACUAAUCAAUGCAAAAAAUAAUAAUCAAGAAAUAGGCAUUGUUCAGCUACUUUACAAAGAUUUAAAUUCAAGACUUGAAGAGUUUCAUUACGCAUAAUCAUAGAGUAUAUAACACCAAUGAAUAAAGAUAUGUUGAUAUUAAUGCCUAACAUGCACAAAUAGGCAUAGUUCAAGCUACACUGAUUUAGGACGACUGAUAUAACUUGAAAUAACUAGUAGUACUACUGUAUAAGUGAGAACAACAUAUGGAAAAAAUAUGAUAGUGAUCUACUGAUAUGCAAGAUCAGUAUAAUAAAGUGGUUGGUCCACUAAGAAUGCCACAGCAUGCUAAUAUGCCUCUAAUUAGUCAUGUAUAAGAUUUAGAUAUUUUGUAGACUUUGGUUGGCAACGAAACCAAGAAAAGACGGCAAUACUCAAAUUAUUAUACGCAAAAUCAAAAUUAAAAAAUAGAAAUUAAUUAAUAAAUUUAUAUUAACAUUUUUGAAGUAUUUUUUUGAAAGUAAUAUUUUAUUUUAUAUUAUUUACAUAAUUAAAUUUUUGUUAUUCGAAUAAAUAACCAAUUUUUAAGGUAAAUUGUGUAACACGGAUCGUGUGAUGAAACGAGUUAUAAAUUACAUAAUUAUAAUUAUAUAUGUUUUUAGGGGUUGUAGUCAAACUUAGAAAAUAUUAAUUUAAAAUUAGACUUAAAUAAAAGAUAUUAUGCCAACAUUAUUUCAUUGUUUUGAAUAUUAUACUUAUUUAGUAAAGUUGAUCAAAUUACGAUUAUAUAAAAAAAAUUAUUAUGAAAUAUUCUACGUGUUAAAUUAUAGAAUUAACAAACAAAAUACAGCACUACAAUCUUAUAUACCAAACAAAAUUUAUAUAAAAAUACAUUUAAAAAUAUCGUUUUGCGGUAUACCGCGAAUUAAAAUCUAAUAAUAAGAUUAAAAUCUAGUGAUAAGAAAUCUCCGAAACUUGUGAAGUGACUUUACUCUUACAUUGAAUGGUAAAUCUAUGAAAAUAUAUACCAUUAAGAGAUCGAAUUUCGGUCCUUAAUUUAAAUAAUAGAAAUUUGGCUAAUACACCGAUUUGUUUAGGCUAAAUGUUGAAAAGAAAAAGAAAAUAGACAUUAGCAUUAUGAGUAGGGAAGUUAGGAAAUUACGAGAAACUGAUAAAGAGGCUCUCUAACCGAUCCAAUUAUGAAAUUGCAAGGACUGAAGGGUAGGUACUUUGUUUUUUUUUUCCUUUCGGCUGCUUAUGAUAACAAAGGGACUAGGGAAAAAAAAAAAAAAGUAAAGCCAAUUUGCGUAAUCAUUACAAUUAUAUACCCUAAUUGCCAUCAAACCUAAUUCAUAUAAUAUAUACUACUGUAUACAAAAUUAUCUUCAUUUCUUCAAUGCACCAUAUGCAUAUUAAUUAUAAUUAUCAAUAAAAAGUAUAUACAUAAUUAUGCAUUCGUAGUAAUUAACGUAAAUGAUUGGACAAUAUAAUCUCUAGGAAACUUGGACGUACGUUCUUAUACAUGUGAGCUGAUCAUGACCAAACCACACACCAUCCCUGUCCCAAGUGAUUCGAACUAAAGGAGGAAAACACAAUUACCGUACCGAUCGUUACGAGCUCAUGAGUCCCACCAUCGUUUGGGUCAUAUGUUAGUAAAUAAUUUAAGUCAUUUCGAUCAACCAAAAAAAAUAGAUUAGUCAUUUCGACUUCGUGCCGACAAAUAACGAACUAACGAUGCAGAUAAGAUUCUUUUGCUUGUAAUGACGGUCACGUGGUUGCACAUGAUGUCGGUAAAAACUUGUAUUAAAAUAGUAUUUUGGACCACACUAUUGAUUUUGUUCUUUGGUUGAAUGUUUAAUUAGACCAUUCAUAGGAAUAGUAACGAGUCAACGUGGUCAUACUGUGAGUUGUGUGACAUAUGUCGGUAAACACAUUUUUUUUUUUGGGUUUAUGUUAAUUAACUUACUUCAUAAUAAACUGUUAUAAGUUUUUCUCUAUAGGUUAGGGGAAUGUGUUAUAAUCGUACAUCCCUAUGUAUAAUAUAAUCUAAUGGUCACAAUUAUAAUCUAAAGAGAAAAUUUUAGGAGACAAUGUAACUUCUCAAUAGGAACACAAUGAUUAAGGUCAAUAUUUCCAAAUAAUAUUUACCCUUGAAAACACCAUCAUUAAAGUUGUUAGAUUUUCUUUUUAACAUCGAGGUUGUUAGUUAAUUCCAUCAGUAACCUUAUUGACAAUUUUAGAUGUCGUCCACACAUAUAUAACAUGAGUGCGUAUACGUAGAUCAUCAAACAUAUCUAUAGAUGUGGUCACAUGUAGCAAAAACGCGUAAUUGUGUAGUAUAGUCACUACAUGUCUACAGAGACGUGUCAUGUCUUAGUUGUGUCCUUAGCGAAUCGAGUUUUAAUUUGCCUUUCACAUUGUUAUGUUUUCAAGAACCUGAAAAUUUUAUUUAUAAUCUUCACAAAAUACAAAAUAGGAUGACACAACACGCGUCUGAUAUCCAACCAAGAGCUGUACCCACUCAUGUGUGUUCUGAUGAGUUACGUUGUUCCACGUACAAAACUUGUUGUAGUUGCAUGUUGAUUCGGAGCAUUAUCAAAAAGAUUAACAAUGACAAGCUUUCUCAUUUAUCAAACGAAAUAACAAGUAUACAAAACGGUGUAGACAUUAAAUAUAUAAAAAUGCAUCUCAAUUAUCUCCUUCUCAUUAGCGUUAGGAGAAGAUUCUUAGAAUCUUAAUCUUAAUACAAACUCUUUUGUCUGAUAUCCCUACAUAAUGAUACUACCACGUAACAAUGUUUGACAAGUUUUGUAGUAGUUUUGUUACGUGCUUAUACAUGAUUGGUUGACUUAGAACAAAAAAAAAAAGGCUCCGCAUAUAUCAUAUCCUAGGUCUUUAAUAUGCAUAUGGAAGUAACCACUAAAGCGCUUUAAAGUGAGCUAAUAAUACCAUAAGUUAUGAUCAUGUCCAAAGAGGAUCCCACCACGACAUGGAUGAAUUAUUGUUGUUGUUAUUGUCCUCAAGGAAUCCCAAAUCAUUGCUCUCUUCGUCGGGGCUACUUAUGAACUCGUCGCCACUCUCAAACGAACUCUCAAAGGACAUUUUGUGUUGUCCUUGCUCUUGUGCUGACAACUUUGUUUGCUCCAUUUUAUAUACCAAUUCUAGUAGACUUGAUCUUUGGAGUUGCAUGCCCACUAACUCUACUUGAGUCUUCGCAAGUUGUGCUUGUAGCUCACUUACUUGUCUUUGCAAAUGGUAAAUUGCACCCGCACAUCCGUAAACCGGAUCUCUCAUCCUAGCUCCAGCUUCAUAGACCAUGCUAUUAACCGCAUCUGUUCUUUGUGAUUCAGGAAGCUCCUAUAUACAUAAACAUCAUUUAUCACUAAAACGUUACUUUCUAGAAGAGGAAAUAAAAGUCUUGGACAUGGAACGUGGAUUAUUGAAUAUUUGACAUGAUUAAAAUUUCAUCUUUGACAUUGUGAAAUUGUUUUUUAUUUUAUUUGACCAUGAAGAAAACUUACAUGACUUUUUUUUUCAAAUUAUGGAUGAAAAGGAAUUGUUGAAAUAGACUUUUUUUUUUCUUUUUCUUUUUAAUAUAACUUUAAUUAUAAAUUUUCUUAAUGAGGUUGCAUGUAGUAUAGCUUUGAGGAAAGGUUGUUAUUGACCUUUCAUUGCAAUUGUAGGGUCUAGUUUUGGUCACAUGACUUAUGAAACCAUUAUUGUUCAACAACUAGACUUUUAACUUCCUUUUCACAUUUUGGAAACCAGAUUUCAUCUUUGUAAAUAAAAAGUAUAUACUAUUUUUUAAUACAAAACAACAAAGCCAUCAUUCUCUUUUGAUCUUUUAAAUUAUUAGAUACCAUUAUAAAUCCUUUGUAUAGUAAAUUUUAUUUUAUUUAUUACCCACUAGAGAUAUUGUCUUUGGUGUUAAUAUAAUUUAGAUAUUAAAUACUAAGCAAAUGUGAAAUAUCUUGGUUCAUGUACACACGUGCGUGUAACAUAUACAUAGAAAACACACACGUGUAGCAGCAAGUAAUUAAAGAAAGAAGAUGAAAAAAAUACAUACCUGCAAGAACUUGAUAAUAUUGCUAGCUCCAAAGACACGGUGAGCAAUUGUGAACUUCAUCGGAUCCGUCGGAGGAAAAUACGGAGCCAAAACGCAUUUCUCGGCGCACCGCCGCCUCAAAAUCUUGCAAGCCGCACAAGGGCUUAGAACAACCGGAGGUUGUGGCGGCUGCUGCGGCGAAGGAGGAGGAGGAGGUGAAGAAGUUGGAGAAGGGGAAGAAACAGGAGUGGUGGUUUCCGCCACGGCCACGGCUGAAGCAGUAGGUGUAGCAACCCCACCGUUAAUCUCCAUCUUAAGCAUGAUUAUCUUAGGGACUUACUUGUUUUAUAUGCUUUUCUUUAGAGUCAAUUAGUAAAGUUUAUAAAAUAAGGAAGGAGUUGAUAAGGCAAAGUGUGUUUUGUAGAGUGAAGUGGUUUUAUGGUAAGUAAAGGAAGAUUGUGAAUGUGGUAUAUAUAGAGAGAGACACACACACAAGAGAAUGACAAAGUGACGUUUGUAAAAUGAGUUGUGACGUUAUUAUAAUUUUCUUUAUUUAUAUAUGCCUUUACGGUGUUAUUACUACUACUAAAUUCGUUUUUAUUUUAUUUUUGUUUCAACGGUUGAUUGACUUUGGCGGCUUGAUUAAUUAUAUUUCCACAUUCGCACUUAGGCAAAGAUUGUUAUAUUUAAUUUCCAAUUAAUCCUUAAAGUAGUCUUUUGAAGAAGUAAUCCGUUCCACGUUUUCACAUCUCGCUUAUAUUUGUUUUCAUAUAAAAUUCGGUGUAAAGAAGUUUUCUAAAACACCUUCUUAUCUUUGAUAUUUAGUUAUUUGAUUAAAUAUCACGAAGGCAGUAACGAGUUUAUUUGAUUUUCUAUGUGAAAGCCAAUUUAGUAUCAAUGGAGAUUUUUUUGGUUUGAUAUCAUUCCCUUUGACUCAUUUCUGCUAUCAACCCAUUUGUUGGAAGCAAUAAAUGAAGUAUUCAUAGAGGGAAUGAUACAUGGAAACCAAUUAAACAGUGAUAUGCAAGAAUAGUUAUUGAGGUCAUAUUAUUUACUAAGCUUCACGGCUCAUGGGGACUGCAUUAUUUCUUCGAACGAAUCCACACGAUCAUUUCAUACUUAAGAAAUCACAAAAAGAAUAAUUGAUAUAAAAAGUAAUAAAUGAGUACCGACACUUGUAUGAAAUAAAUAGCUAAAAAAAAUAUAUGUUGCGUAAUAGAGAAAUAAAAUGAACAAAAACGUGUUAAAUCUCUAAUUGAUAAAUUACUUAGAAUCAUUUAUGAAUUUAGUUUUUAACAAAAAAAACAAAAAAUUAUGAAUUUAGAAUGUUUCGUGUUGGUGUUUAUAUAUUUUUCACAUAGAUUUACCAAUUUGUAACUUAUAAAAGUACGAUUAAAAAAUGUGUUUGACUCAUUAUAUUUUAGUUUAGUUGGUUCGAUUUGUUCUUAUGAUUUUGUAUUUAUUAUUAAAAAAUCCUAAAUAUGAAUAUUUUUAAGUGUUUAUAAAAUUACAAAUCUAUAAAUUUGAGCAAAAAUGACAUAUACAAAAGAUUUUCCUUAGAAAAAUGGCAUUUUUUUUUUUUGUAAAAUCCCAAUUACUUAUCUACAUAUAGAAAAACAAAACAUUACAGGAAAAAUAUCACGGAUGCCAUAUAAUAGAUGAAUGACAAAGACAAAAUGGUGAAAUUCGUGUUUUAACUCAUUUUUCCAAUAGACAAAAAGAACUUCAAUGUCAUUUUCUGAAAUGUUAUCUAUUGUUAUCUCUUCAAUUUUUAUUUUAUUUUAUAAGAAAAAUAUGAGUUGCUUAUUCUCUACAAAAUCAAUAAGUUACAUAAGUUUCUAUGAACAAGUUGUUGAUCGAGUAUCAACAACAUUGUUCUCGCAAUGGAAACAUAUUUGAGCGUCGCGUACACAACACCACUAUCGUGAGACUACUCUUUUGGUUGCUGACAUGCCUUGUGGUUGCUUAAACUGAUGAGUGCCUUUACUUUCAUUUUGGUGUUAUUUUUCAUAAUUGAUAUUUAUGCGAUCCUUACAUUAAUCUUUUUACUCAAAUAUGUUAACCAUACCAAGCUUUUUGAUUCUAUUAACCAACUUUUUUUUUUCAAUUCGCCAUCAUCAUUUUUUUUUUUUUGUAUAUUUUAUUAAUCCGAAAAAAAUUAUUUUCGACAUAGGCUAGUGUUCUCGAUUCAAAAUAAUCUUGGCUCGUUUGUGAUUUUUAAAAUUUUGUCCUAUAUUUUUUUGUUUCAUUGGUUCCAAAUCAAGUUUCUGUUUUUUUUUUGCUUUGUAUUACCUCUAAUUUUCCAACAAAAAAAAAAAGAGAAAAAAGUUCCCGAGUAAUACAAUGUUAGAAAAUUAAUGCAAAAAGCCAAAUGGUUAUUCUAGGUUGCCUAAUAUUGGUAAUAUAUAUGCCUCUUUUUCUUCUUCUAUUCUUGAGUUUGUAGAACUGUGUAAGACUUUUCUCUUUGAAAUAACGAUUUCUAUGAAAUGGUAUAGGAAGUAUCCAAAAAAACUUUGGUCUUUAUAAACCAUUUCUUCUUUAUAAUUACUAGAAAAAAAUUGACAGAACAUUAAAACAAUUUUGGCCGAAGCUGACCAAAAAAAAGAAAAAAGUAACUUUAACAUAAUUUUACAAUAUUAUUGUCUUUAUUUAGUAUGAGAAUUAUCGACGUAUCCCCACUAGUUUCAACGUUUUCUUUACGACAUGACAUAUUUAAUCGAUGUAUUUUGGAAAAAUCUUCAGUUUAGUCUUAGCUUUAGAAUAUUUUUAACUAACUAUGCGACUUUAUAAAGUGUACGUGGCUACAUUCUCUUUAAUUAUAUAACAACUGGUUCAUAAAUGUUUUUCGCAUGAUCGAACAAGUACGAAACAUUUCUAUAAAUUUUCGUGAUUAUGGAUAACUCGUACCUUGAUACUUAGCUCUUGAUACUUAGCUCUUAAUACACAAUAUUAUUUGGAUACUUGUAUGAAAAAUACAGCCAUAUAUAAUAUACAUCGUUUUCGACAGGCAAAAAAUAGUUUAAUUUCCACAUAUAUAGGCUUCGACUUGUAUGGACUGUCAUUAAUAAAAAAAAAAGAAAUAAAUGAAAUUUUCCAUGUCAACUAUGGAAAAAAAAAAAACUAAAGUCUAGUGUAGUUGAAAAAUUCGUUAUGGAAUUGGAAACCCAUGAAACUAAAUUGUUAUUUCAAUUCAAUCAUAGUUAUCAUUAAUUAUAACACUUUAAGUAAUAAACGUACAUGAUUUUUCACAAGUUUUGAAAAUUAGUCUGAAAGAAAAAAAAAACUUGCACGUCAAAUUAUGAAAGAAAUUUUCACGUGGUGCACGUUACAACUCCCUGUCGUCCGAGAAGUAUAAGAACGACACGUAGUCAGUGGUCGAGCUAUCUCUUUAUGAGUUAUUGGGUGUGCGAUAUUUCAUAUUUCUAUCUAUCUAUGCUGACACAAUCAAAGAAGACAAUGCUAUCUUUCUACUUUCUCUCAACCAUAUCAAUUUAUUCAGCUUUUUUUUUUUAUAAAAAAGAUACUAUUUGAUUUUAAGUAGUUAGCUCGAUCAUAUUAUAGUAGAGAGACUAAUAACUAAAUUGGGGGACAUAAUUAGGAUAAGUUUGGUGGAAAUUGGUCAGCUCGUUGGACACAUUAAGUAAGGAAAAAUUGGUUUCUUUGAUUUUUGAGGUACUAACGAAAGCUCUUCUUCGUUUUAUUUCCCCUUUGUCUUAAAAGGUCUUUUGGUUGGCUUUUUUUUUUUCAUUUCACAAAGCAAAUAAUUUACGUAUCAUAUUCACUAUAGUUGUUGUGGUAACAUGGAUCAAGAAAAAACAAUCAUCGGUAUACAAUGAACGAAAUAAAAAAUAAAUAGUAAUCGUAAUAAAUCAUAUUUCUUUUUUUGGAUUGAUAUAUUAACUUGUUUCAAUAAUCCAUAUGUUUUUGUUAAAAAGAAUUUUCUAAGUUUUUAUUUAUUAGAAAGUAAUUGUGAACCAUUCUUGAAUUGAACUUAAGUGGUAAAACCUCAGUUUAGAUCACCAUUCAUUGUGUAUAUUUCUAUCUUAAGUAUAGAUAGAUAUGUUAGUUUUAUAUCUUUGCAAUUAAUCUAUAUAACUUGCAAAUAAAAUCGAUCACACUCAUUAACUAUACGUCAAAAUGCAUAAUGUAGCACUUACUUAGCUAUAGUGGAACUUUUGUAAACUUGCAACUUGUAAGUACAUACAGAUUAGAUCUCAUUAAGGUGUCACUUGUGUUGUGUAUAAUAAAAAUUACUCAACUAUACCGACUAAUAAUAGUGCUUAAAGGAAAAUUAAGAUAGUGCAUAAUCUAAUUAUUCUCCCAUUAAUACAAUUAUUUACUAAUAAUAAUAAGACUAGAUGUAGACGGGAGUAGGAAUUUGUCAAACUACUACUUCUUUUAGCUUAAGGGAAAAAAUAUUCGAAGAACUGAAAAAAACUUAUCUUAAUUAGUGUAUAUAUAUAGCUUCAUCCAAUCAAAAUGAUGCCUCUUAUAGUCGUAUUUAUUUAAAAAGUCCGAACACUUUCAAAGACAAACAAAGAUAUUAAGGAAUACUCUUUUGGAAUGUUAAUUUUUUUUAAUCAUAUUUUGAAAAUCUCAAUCCAUAUAUUGAAAAUGAUGAUUUACGCCUUGUAGUUUUUUUUUUUUUUCUGUGGACACAAAAGAGUUGUAAAUCUUAACAAUAUAAAGGAAUGUAAAUUUUCAUCUCAAAAACAUGUAUAGAACAGAUAAAUCAUUAAGUAGAAAAAAAAAAGUUUCUUCUCUUUGCAGAAUCCAAAACCAAAGUUGGCAGACAGAUAUAUGUCCAACUUGAAUUUGAAGUUAAUGUGAAAAUAGUUUAUUGGCUUUUUGAAAAGCCACACAAAGAUAUCUUUAUUUCACCAAUUUUCUUAAUUAGUUAUACUUUCAUAAUUCUAUGAUGAAUAUAUCUAUAUAUAAAAAUAAGAUGACAAUUUUGUCAAAUUACAGAUUAAGGUGGCAGUAGCUAAUUAGAUGUGAUAUAUUCCAUAGUCUCCAUCUGCACCCACUAUAUAUUACCACCCAUAUGCUAAAAAAAUAAUAAUUUUCCACACACCAAAGAAUAAUAUUCCCAAAUUAUACAAAACUUACGCGUGUGUAAGUGUAUAUAUGUAUGUGUAUCUCUGUCACUCUGUGUUGUCCCUCACAAUGUAUCUUCUAAUGCGCGUGGACCUUUGCGAUACUUCCAAAUUCCAAAGGAGAAAACACUGUUACAUUUUUUAAUACGUGUGUUUUAUAUGUAAGAUAAUAAUAGUGUAUAAUGCAUGUUGGAAUUAUCUGAGAGUUGUAUAUGUAUAUAUAUAUAUAUGUUUUUGCCUCAGUGAAGUCUCAUUGUUGACAAAUAAAAACAAAAGAGAAUGAAGUCCCACUAAAUUUUUUAAUUGAAUAUAUUCUAAUUCUAUAGGCUGUAUAUCAUAGUUCUUCUAACUCCUAAUAGUUUAGCUAGCACAUAUAUGUUUGAGAUUUCAUAAUGUUUAGGUUAGACUACAAACACUAUUAUGUAUACAUAUUUUGACCCAAAAAAGAAUAUCUUAUAUGCUAUAUAUAGUGGUGUUUCAUUUGGUUUACGUAUAUAUAUAUAUAUAUAUAUAUAUGUCUUACUUCAAAACUUUUAUAAUUUAUGUUAGUAAACUUAUAUUCUUGAGCUAUCUUUUGAGUAUAAAUUAGCUCCAAACGUUAUCAUAUGAAACCAUAUGAUUUUAAUGUCUAAUUCCAUAAAUUUUACACUUUAUAUGCCAAUCUUGAACACAGUGAUGCGUUCGAAUAUAUAUCUUCCAUUGAGAUUCUGAUCAUUUGUAAGAUAAUAUAUAAGUAUAUGGCAAUAUAUCAACUCUUUAGCUAGCUAGGUUUUAGGGUUCUUAAUUACUAUAAUGAGGAAUAUAUUUUCAAACAAUGAGACUUAUAAAUGCUUUUGUAAUAAUUACCACGAUCUUGUAGUUGUUAGCGAUAUUAAAGAUAAUAGGAAGAAGAAUAUUUGUACGAAGUGUAAACACAACGUAUGUUUAUCAAACUCCCGACAGAAAAAUUCUUAUUUCGAAUAUCAAAUAUAAUAUGGCAUUAUGGUUAUUGGCAAAUUUUCCCACGCAUGUGGGGUAUAUUUCUUUAUAUUUACUAAUUUUUUGGAUCUAUUUUUUUUUUUUUAUAGAACCGAAAAGCCAAAAAGAUGAAUUAGUUAAGUAAUUAAUUUAUAUAUGCUGAUGGUCGAAUUCUUGACUUUAAAGACUCUCUUUAUAUAUGAUCAACUAGUAUAUAAUAUAUGAUCAACUAGUAUAUUGUAUGAGACUUUGAGUUAUCCAUAACGAAUAAUAUAACGUACAUUUUGUGUUGUUGUGUAUAUAAUUUUCAUUAUGGACAUCAUGCUGUUUAAAUAUUCAUAUUACAUCACACAUACGUAUAGUUCGUUUCUGUAAUUAGAUUUGUAUAGUCAAAAUAUAAUAUUAUAACUUUUCACCAUUCAAUAUAUAUACUGAAUGGUGAAAAGUUAUAUUGUAUUUUAUACAUACAUGCCGCAUCUAAUUAUGACAGUGAAUUGCACGUAAGUUUAAUUGAGAUGUACUAAAGCCUAGUAAUUAGAUUUAACAAAAAAAUAAUGCGAUCAAAGAGGUAUGAGUAUUUUGGCUAUGUUUUGGUUGGUUCAAAUAUUUUGGGUUGUUUUAGUAAUUAGAAGAAUUCAUUCGGAUAUUAUAGCAAUUAAGUUUUUGGAUUCGCUUUCGACAAUUUUUAAGUUCAAAUAAUUCAAAUAAUUGAUAGAAAAACCAAUCAAGAACCAAAUAUUUAUAGAUAAGACUAAUUUAAUAUACCUGAAUUACUCGAUAAUAUCUAAAAUACCAAAAAUCAAUACUAAAUUAUUCAUUAUUUUGUAAUCGAAUUUACCCGGUAAUUAAUACCAAAAAUAUUAAAAACAAAAUCUAUAACAUUUGUUUAUUUUUUUUCUUCGAAUAUAUACAAACUGAUCCGAAAUUAUAUAAUAAAAUAAUUGAUUGUUUAAAUAGAUAACAAUAAUGGUUUAAUGCGUUGGUCAAAGAUUGUGUUUCUCGCCCAUGCACACUUAUAUUUGCAAAGACAACAACAGCGUGAUUGAGAGAUACGGCUUCGGUACGUUCAAACUGGUGUCUUUGAUCGCUCAAUAAAUGCUGCAAGAUAGGUGAAUCAGAAAAGCUCAUCAUAAUGAAAAAAUUUAAUUAUAAAUCAGAUUUGUUUUCUGGUCAAAGUUUCAUCCUCUCAAGAAUUGAUUAUAUGAGUUAUGUGUUUCCCUUUUAGAAAGGCAAAAACUUGGAGUGUGCCAAGUAUGCAUCAAGAGGAGGACUAUAUUGACUACCAUUUAAUAAGCAUUAUAUGAUUACAAAUUUACAAUGGAUCCUUAGCCCCGAUAUUACUUCGUUAUGUCCUAAUUUACCAAAUUAUAAUUCAUAAUGUAGCCUGAGUUUAUAUAUGGAGUAUAUUCAAUAUUUGAUUGAUUCACUAGACAUUCAUACGAUCAGUAUCCAUACUACAUGUCAAGGUUACAAAGCGUGUAUAGUUUUAGUUGUUAUUCUAAAUUUCAUUUUAUCAUUCAGUGCAAGUUUUGAAACUAGCAUGCACGCGGGUGAAAUUUUGAAAACCCCCACGUAUACUAGAGACUUAGGGUCCGAAUGAUAAACAACGGAUUGAGCUGUACCGGAUAAGCGAUUUGAUAGUGCGGUACGGUUCAACUGCGCUAUAAACGGAAUACAAGUAUUUGGGGGACAAGUGUGUUUAAUACAAGAUAUGCGGUACAAAAUAAUGUUUGAUUGAUGAAAAAAUAUUUGGUGCGGAUUUCAUAAUAUUUUAUCAAUAAAUAGUAUAAUUAUAUAUUAUUUAUUUAUUUUGUAUUAAUAAUUAAUAAUAUUAUAUAUUUAUGAACCUUAAAAUAUCCAAAUAGUUCAAAUAUUUGAAUGGUAAAAAUUACAACAAGCGGUUUAAAAGUACCCCUAUCAAUAUUCAAAUAGUUAAAAUAUUAUACAUUUUAGUAAAUGAGAAAUUUUGGGAACUACCAUUUUUAAAAAUGCGUUUUAUCUAGAGAAUUUUGAGAAAUACCUCUUUUGGUAUGCCCUUUUCAAAAAUCUCUCUUUAUCUAUCCAUUUUCAAAAAUACCCCUGUUUAAAUGUUAAAAAUUGUAAAGUUUUAUAUAGUUUAAAAGGUACUUCUAUAACUACUAAUGAGAGAUUCAAUACAAAUAUUUUAAAAUGUUGGAAAUGGUUUUAAAUCGUUUUUAUAAAUUUUUAAAGGUUUUUAAAAGGGUUCAUAAGGUUUUUAUAAGUUAUUUUUACGUUAUUUAUGAAAGAUAUAUAAAAUCUUAUACACAUACAAAGGUAAUUUGUGUAUAUAUUUAUAAGGUUACACACAUAUUUGGAUAAAUUUCAACAUUUUUAGUGGUUUUUUGAUAAAGUUUGAAAAUGGGGUAUUUUUUUUAAAAAGUAUAUGAAAAUGAUAUUUUGAAAUCACCUAAUCUAUCUAUGUUCAAAAGUACACCUUUUAUAAUAACUACUAUUGAGAUACUGAAUUCAAAAAUUUAUAAUGUUUUAAAAGGGUUAGUAAUAAAAUGUUUUCAUAUAUUAUUUAUGAAACGUAACCAAUAUUACUUUGAAAUCUUAUUAAAUUUGUACUAAAAUAAUUAGAAUGUGAGAAUGAAAAUAUUAAAAAAAUGAAAAUUACUUUUGUAGAGUUCAUAAUAAAAUAAAAAGUUAUAAAUGUUCAAUAUACAAACAUAUAUUUUUAUUUAUUUUAUAAUAAUAAAUGAUAAUAAAAACGCAAAUGAACUGAAAUAAUAUUGAUUAUAUAUGUGGUGCGGUUUUCAAAAGAGUGUGAGGACCUGGGUUCGAGGAACGCCAGGCGCACCAAUAACCUACCUGGUGGGCCUGAGAGCUGCGGGCUAGAGGACUGUGCAGAUUGAGCCCACAAGAAAAAGAUUAGGGUCGAUGCGCUGCAAGCUGUAAGGUUGCCAUGUGGCGGAGUGUGCCACAUGGCAAAGGGUCCCACGGGGUAAGGUGUUACACGUCGUGUUGGGUAAUAGGAGAGCAUGUUUCUUCCUUGGUUGCUCUAUUUUCGUGACUGUUCAUCUUUUGCAAAGAGCUGAGUGCAGGACCAAGGCUUAUCUAAGCAAUUUUAAUGCAUGUUUUGAUGAUUUCUAUGAUUAUUGACUGAUUUCCUUGUUCGUAUGCUUGCUUUCUAUGAUAUGAUGUCUCUGGACGAGCCUUAUGGAGUGUCUUUUCGGCCAUGGAGUUGAAAGGGAAGGAGAUUCAUCGAUGAGAAGCGACUGAAGCGAUAUUAGGGCUUCGGUGUCGAUUGACACCAAGGGUGGGUGUCGAUCAACACCAACUCUCUUUCUCGCGAGGAUGGUCGCGAGUGUCGAUCGACAUCAGUGGUGGAUGUCGAUCGACACCGCUCGUUAGUUUGAGUUUUCUGUUGUUGUUUCAUUGAUUAUUUGAUGUUUGUGACUGGUUAUUGUCUGAAUAUGUUUUAAUGAUGCUUGUGUGUAUAGCCAGUAGUUGGGUUAAGUGCCUCACUAAGUAUUUUUGGAAAUACUUAUGCAUCUCUUUCUGUAACGCAGGUAAAUGAAAAGUUUGACCGUGAAAUCAAGGCGUGGAGAGCGGAAUUAUCUAGGGGCUCGCUGGUUGUGUCUUGAUUUUAUGUUAUUGCAUUGUUAGGUUGUUAGUUCUGGAAUCUAGAAAUAUGUUAGGAUGCUUUUCUAUUUCCGGAUAAUGACUGGUUUGAAUAUUGUUGGAAUGCUAGUGUAUUGCAAUUGAAUUACUUAGAUUGUUUGGUUAAGUCUUUCGCUAAUCGUUGCUGGUUAUUAUUUUAUGGAUGUUUAAAUUGGAAUUGCUGGUUAAACGGUUAAAAUUAGAAUUGAUUUAAAUUGAUUAGGCCCGGUUUAACUGAUUUAGAUUGUUUAAAUUGAUUUAGACUACUUUAGCUGGUUUAGAUUAAUUGGGUUAAUACACUUUGCAUGAUAAAAAAAAACAAAACUGGCCGGGUCUUUUCAAGGAUCCUUGAAUCCUAUAUUAAAUCUCUAGUUAAAAACAUUAUCAAUUCAUGUUUUGAAAUUGAAGUAAAUUACAUCAAUCAACAGAAAAUAGGUAAAACAAUCUGAUAUGGUGAUUGUAGCGUCGAUAAACAAGUUUUUGUAACCUCUUGGACGUAGAUGUAUAUGGGACCCACUAAGAAAAGUGACGGUCAAGGCGUUAUAGUUGUUCAACUAUCGUCAUUCUAAAUUGCAAAAUAUAAAAGAGAGAAUUUUGGCAUCUUCAAAUAAAUAUUUGUCAUCUAUAAUCAGUACUUGUUGUUUAAGUAACUAUUUCCGUAAAGAAUGUCGUCCAAAUGUGUUUUUUCCCGAAGAAUAUGAUGUUGAAUAAGCGGUUUUGACAUAAGAGAUACAUAUGAAAUAAUGUAGAUGAUGAGUUUCAUGGUACUCAAAAACAACUAAUAGUACUUGUAAAUCUUUUUAAAAGCCUUUUAAAAAACCUUGUAAAUUUUUCAAUUCUGAGAACAGUGCUCACGCAAAAAAAAAUUGGCGGGAAAAAAUGUUGUCAGACAAUUUUUUGGCGGGAAAAUUUGUUUGAUGGAAAUUUUUUUGCGAAAAAAAUUUUCGCGGAAAUGUUUUAGCGAGAAAUUUUUUAUCGGAAAUGUUUUGUAGGGAAAAAUUUUAGCGGGAGUAAUUUAAUUUUUUAUUUUGCUGACUUAAUUAAUUUUCAAGUAGAUGUAAAAUUGUCAUUAAAAAUUAAGAGAGAGUAAAAAGGAAAAUGAUCCAAAAAUGAUAUUUUUGCUAAAAGGUAUCAUGGAAAGGGCAUUAGUAAAAUUUCUCAAAAUAAAUUACGUUUUGACUUUUGUACUUUGCUUUAAAAAAAAAAAAACUAAACAGAGUAGAUAUUUUAUUUAUAAAACCAAAAGCAAUCAUUAUGUUUUUAACAUAAUUAUAAUUAUUGAAAAUAUAAAAAUUUAAAUUAUUUCCUCUUUUAGAAAAAAAUAUUCAUAAAAUUAAACAUAAUAAGAUUUAGUUGCACAUGACAUGGUUUGUUACGUAGUUUUAUUAAAUUUUAAGUUAAUUGAUAUAUCAAGAAAGGGUAUAUUUGUAACUUUAAUCUUUUAUUCCUAAAACAAAAGAAACAAAAAUAUAAAAAUUAAGAGAAAUUUUAAAUUCCAUAAUUGCUAAAAUAGAAAAAGAAACACAAUAAAAAAUAUAAACCACACAAAACUUAGAAUAUAAUACCAAUCAAAGUUUUUAUAUGAUAGUUUUAUGAAUUCGACAUACAAAAUGACAAAAAAAUGAAAAGAAAAAAACAUUUUCAAAAUAACAAAGAAUGUUAUUUGUUAUUUUAAUUCCAAAUUUCGAUUUUUUUUAUUUUCAUUCCAAAUUUUGAGUUUUUUAUUUUCACAAUAGGUUUUGUCGCCUUAUACAAUCGCAUCGUUGGUGAUGAUCAUCAAUUGCUCGUCUGGCACCUCAAAUAGAAGAACUGGUGGAUCACGAAGAGGGGCAAACUCCAUGAAAUCUAGCUCUAGCCUACCAAGUAUGAUUUUAUCUUUUGAGAAAGCUAGUAAUUGAUAGAUCUCACUCAAGUUCAGAUCACUGAUUCUACGACCAUGAUGUAGUUGUAUCAUCAACUGUUCAGUGACAUAUUCCUUAUUCUUCUGCUGACUCUUCAUCAAAUUUUUAUGAAUCGUCUUUAUCUUCUCCUUCAAAUAUGAUUUGAGACAUGUCUGUUUCUUCUUCUGCUCGAGCAGCGGCUUUGCAAAGAAAUUUUUUAAGAGGCCACGAACCGUCUUAACACAUGGCCACACCACUGGUUCAGCUUCGUAAGGGCUGAAAAUGAUCAAACAAGCCCAUAUAUCACACAAUAUGGUUAACUCUUUUACCUGUUUUAGUAGCCCUUCGCUCUUUCUCUUAAAUAUCAUUGCUCUUGCCUUGUUAUUUUCUACCCAUGCAAGUUUUACCUUUGCCAUGGUCACUUUUUGAUUUAAUAUCUCUUUCAGAAUAUGAUUGUUGUUGGAUUUGUUAUAAAAAUGCGCAUGGGAAUUCAUUUAAAUAGAGCUUGGAUAAAAGCGAUAAGAUCUUAAAAAAUUAUACUAGUCAAAGUGGAUGCUUCUUAAAUAUGUAAAGUUAAUUCCUAUUUAUUAAAUUCAAUGAAAAAAUUGUUUCUUAAUAGUAAAUAUAAUAAUUGAACAUUGAAUAUAACAGAAAAAAAACAAAUUUGAUAUUUCAUAAAUUGAAUCAAUUGCUUUUAAUCCAAAUUUGACUAUUGAAAGAUAGUAAUUAAAGAUAAAAUAGUUAUAAUUUUCUAACAGGAAAUAUGAUAUAGAGAAUUUUGAAAAUCGGCAAAAAGCUCCUAGGCGAUAUUAUCGAAGCAUCACUCCGACUUCCCACCUCCGGCGCCGGUGGAGCUGUAGCUCGCCGGCGUCCGGAUAAACUUCCUCUACUCCGUUUUCUCUGCAGCUUUCUUAGUCCUCUCUGUAAUCUUUUAGCUCUUUUAACCCUUUUUUUGCUCUUGUUAAUUUUUUCCACUUUUCCCCGAACCCUUUUUACAAACCUUUCCAUGUCGAAAUCUAGAUGUAGUCCAUGCUUUCAUCUCCCAGUCGGUUCUACGCUUCCCGCCGCCUGUGUCUUCCACACACUCCUUUUAAAGUCAACUUUUGCAUCUCACGUCGCCUAUCAAAGGGAGAACGCUUCCCCCACCAAGUGCUCAACUUGGCUGCGGCAGGCCCGGAGCUCUGCGUUGACGCCCGGAAGCAACCGAGCGUCCAUCUUUUAUGACAGAUCUGAUAGCAAGUGUACUGGAAAAGCUCACCUCCGGUCUGCCGCCGCCGUCGGUGAUGAAGAGAGGCAACAACGUCCUUAACCUAAUGCUGUUCUUUGUAGCCUAUUAUGGGCCGAGCCCAAACAAAGUCUGCCCCCCUUUCAGCCCAUUUGAAAACCUAUCAAAGCCCAUGAAGACUGUAUUCCAAACUCUUCUAAGGCCCAGGUCUGUUUCCUCUUUUAUUUUGGCAAAUUCACGUUUAAUGAAGUCAAUAUUGUCUAAGGUUGGUAGAAGACGCUUUCCUAUCACGGUAACGAUGAAUUUAAGUUGGAUUCACCAUUAUCUUUCACGAAUCCUGGUUGAUAGAGAUGUCUGUGGGGUUCUCAUUACUUUACCAAAAGCCCCCUUUCCUAAUUUUUGCCAAGUUCUCAAGAGUUGUAAGAAGAACGGCAUUAUGAUCCCGGCUCUAUGGAGCGGUGAUUACCGAAGCUUCAUCAACUUUCUAUACCCGCUUUCGCUGAAUACCGAGCUCAAUCAUGUGAAUUUCAAUGGUUUCAAAGAUAUUUUCCAAACCUCUAAAAGCAGGACGAAGAACGGCAUUAUGAUCCCUCUUUCCAUAGAAAAGGGGUUACCGAAGCUUCUCCAAGCUUUUAUGUUCGCCUCUAUGUUCUCAGAACUCAGUCGAGGGUUAAUCUUCCGGGUGUAUAAUGUAAAUCGAGAAUAUCUUCAGGAAGAACCCAAGCCUUUUUCCCAUGCUUUAAAGCAAACCUCUCCUGGAAUGUCUCCGCCUUCCUCUAUGGUGGAGCGUUUUAUUGAAAGCUCCAAUGCGCUAUUCGUACGAGCUGUUUGUGACCACGAGUUGGUCUUGGAUAUCCUGAAGUUUGUCUUCAAUGUGGAAUUCAUCAUGGUCUUGAUUAGAGUUAUUCAUUUGGUUGCAAGCUUUUCAAACUUUUGGAGCUUUCCCUCGGAUAAAUCUUUAAGCCUUUAUCUUUAUCUCUUUGUUUAUGUCUUUUGUAUUUCAUCAGCUCAUGCUUUGUAUGAACUCCCCUCUGCUGAGGUUUAAGUGAAUGCAAUCUUUGUUUGCCCAAAAAAAAAAGAUAAAAUAGUUAUAAUAUAUUUUGAAAAUCAAUAUAGUUUAAUAUAUGUUAUAUUUGAGCCAAAAGAAAGUAGUCGUGGAAAGACAAUGAAUUCAUAGUAGAUAAUCGCGAAAGAAUUGUAGUCAAACGUGUUUAAAAUAAAUUACUAAAAUUUGAAAAGAUAAUAAUGCACAUGAAUAAAUUAAACUCUUUGAAAAUUCAUUUGUUCAUUUAUUCUGACAGUUUUUAAUACUCAAAAUUUGAUACUAUGCAAAUACCAAUAAUCAUUUCAAAUACUAAAUUAAUAUAAUUUUUUUUAAAAACUACCUAUGUGAAAAAUAGAAUAACAAAAAUGAUAGAAAUAAAAAACCAACAAAACAAACAUUGCCAAAAAAAUUAAAAGAUCAAAAUCUGUAAAAAAAUUUAUAAACUUUAUACGUUUAGCGCGGAUCAACAACUAGUAAUUAAUAAAUUAAGAAUUGAAAAAAAAAGUAAUUUGAGAUUUUAAAAUUUCAACAUUGUGGACCUCGUGUAUGAAAUACUGGGCUUUAUUAAAUUACGUUAGUGGAUCAACACUUGUUUUGGGCAUUUAUCUAUGAAGUCAAAAAAGAAAAUAUUGAAAAUAAAACAAAAAACUAUUAACGGAACAAAUUUAACAAAUCGUUUUCUAGACCAAGCCUUUUUCUCGAUGUUAGCCAACCAAACAUAUUUAACCUUGUUAACAAAUCUUUAAAGUUUAAACAUCCAUUAAAGUGAAAUAACAAUUUAUAAAUCUCAAAGUCUCGUGAUUCUCUGAAACAAAAAAAAAAAAAAAACACAAUUGUCCACAAUAAUUAACAUUUCGAAUUGUUUGUAUUGUUGCUAAUGGUAUCAUAAACUACUUUAUAAUUCGGUUGUGCUAUACAUGUUUAAUGUUUGUACUAUAUACCAACGUAACGUAACUCAUGUUAUAUCAUAUCCAAACAUAUUUUUAAAAUUUGUUUGACAAAACUCGAAUUUGGCCACUAAAAUUUUACGAAAACAAAACAUACGGCUCCAUGCCUCGUACCAAUUUUGACUCUUUUGUCGGUAGGCAACAACCCUAUAAAUCCAAAAAUUUCCAUCAUAUUACCUAAUUUCAAACUCAGAAAUUAUAAUACUACUACAACAGUUACAUUUUGUAUUCUUUAAAAAUUAGAAGACCCUACAGAGAAUGUGAUAUAUAAAUUUCAAACUAGGAAAAUGUUAUUUACUACAUCUAUGUAGACUUGUUAAAUUUUAGUGCCAUAGGUAGUCACGCUCAAAUCUCUGUGUUAGAUUUGAUUCUGUUCAAGAGAUUUUUUUAAGAAAACAUUAUAAAAAAAAAAAAUCCUCCAAUAUGGCCGUAUCAUCAGCCAAUUAUAUUCAAAUCAAUUAACAAUAAAUUAUUGAAGUAUUUUGCCGAUAUAGUAUAGUAGUGUCCAAAUAUCUACCUGGAAAAUAUGAAGCAAUCAUGACAGAAUAUCUCGAAACUCACCACUCACACAUUUCAAAACCCAAUGUCUUUAUUUUCUUUUGCUUCCUGACAAGAGCCAGUGGAAUGUUUUAUGGACAACAUGUUAUAACCUAAUCGACAAUAAUUUUCAGUACGAACUACAUGCCAAAUUGAUAUAUGUCCCAACCCUAAUUCAUAUAUCAAGGGUUGAUAUGAUAUGGUAACAAAGAAAACGCAUAAGGAGAACAAGAGAAUAUCUAUUACAUGGUAACAAAUAAUUAACCAACCCAUCCACCAUUAGAUUACAAAUUAAAACACCAAAGAAGUUUUGAAAAGAAGAGAAAUGUCUUAGGUCUUUUGUCUCAACCAAGAAAAUUGGGAAACUAAAAAAAAGAUAGAAACCCUAGAAAUUAUAAAGAAAAAAACCAAACAUCCCCCAUAUUAGUGAAAGUGGUAUACAAACAUGUGAUGACAUAAACUUUAAUAUAGAGUAAUAUUAUUAUUAUUAUUUUAUUUAGUAACGAUCUUAUCUUAGACCAAAGGAGUGUUGAGUAAACCAUUACUAUUCCAAGAUGAAGCCAACCCAUUCCAGCUUUCCCUUCCGGGAUCAAUCUCCGGUACAACUCCGGCGGAAUCUCCGGUCAUCUGCCAUGGGAAUCCCCAUAAGACCUUGCUAGGAUUCUCUGAGAUAUUGUUAACAUUCUCUUGCUUUCUCUCGUUUCCUUCCAAUGAAAUCCCCAAUGUAGAAGCCAUCUUGAUAUCACUUUGAUGGUUGUUGUUACCAUUUCCGGACAUAAACCCAUAACACAAGCUGUUGUUAAAAUGACCGUUUUGUCCUCCAAAGAUUACAUCAUUCCCUGAGUUUCCAUAAAUAGAAAGAUCACCUCCAAAACCAAAAGAAGUAGUAGUACUAGCCUGAGAGGAUGAAUGAUGCUUUUGAAGAGAAGCGAAAGCGAGGUUGAGAUCAAUGGAGUCGUAACCAAAAGAUGAUGGUGCCAUUCCCGUGAUCAAAGGGUUCUGAUGAAGAGGAUCAUUAUGGAAAUUAAUAGACUUGUUAUUAUUGUUGUUCUUGGAGAAAGAUGAGGAUCGUUUGUUUCUACGGCAGCCACCACCGACGGGGACGUUACGGAGAGUACCACCUUUAGUCCAAUAUCUCCGACAAGAUUUGCAGAAGUAACGAGGUUGAGAGAGACUAUAGUUGUUGUAGUAACAAAACUUUGUGUUUGGAGAUUCACAUCUUGGACAGUUUUGAGCUUCACCUCCUAAUUCUCCUCUUGACCCUUUCUUCUUCAUCUCUUCUUCCAUUUUCUUGAUGUUGUUAUUGCUUCCUUUUGUUGAGCUUACCAAAAUGGUUUCCAAAGUCUCGUUUGAGAUUUCCUAACACAUCCAAAAAAAAAAGUUUCAUUAAAUUAUGCUGACGAAUGUGAAAUCAUGAUGGUUUACUUUAUAUAACGGAUUAGUCGUACGUGGCGACGAUUCUUUUUACCGACAACAAUUCUUUGUAUAAAUCAUCUUGUCUAUAAGAAUCAACAAGAAGACAUUUUUAUUUAAUGGGUUUUGAGAUAAGCUUAGGGUAAUCAAGUUAAUACAUCAUUAAAUUAGUAAAUGACAUAGUUUUUGAUGAAUCUUUAUGUUUCUUAUUACCAAAAUUUUUAAAAAUUCCCAAAGAUUUUAAGUUUUUUUUUUUCUUACUUCGAUACAUGGAAGAACUAAGAGAGAUCAAAAUUGUAAAAAAAAAAAAUCAAAACAAAACAGAAGUGUUUUACAAAUUAUAGAACAAUGAAUUACCUGUUGAGGAUCCAUCCAUGCAACAAAGGAUAAAAGCAACGAUUACUUAGUUCUAUAGUAGUAAUUAGCAACUAUGGUUGGUGUUUUUGCUCAAACUCCAAAGAACAAAGGAACCAGAGGAGAAAAGAAAGAGAGAUUUAGGGGGUUUUGGAGAAAAGUGGUGAGCAAGAUAUGAAUAGAGGAGAAGAGCACGAUUCUUAAUAUAUAAAGCAAAAAAUAGAUAAAGUGUGUCCUUUAAAAUAUAUGUUUCUUUUUCAUAAAUCAAAUUGAUUAUUAUUUUACUUCUUUUCUUUUGUAGCUACUUGUUCUUGUUUUUUAUUAUUGAUACUGUUCACAUGUAAGUGUUUUGCAAAAGUCUUUCAACAAUAUACGUUGAUAAAUCUUUCUUUUUGAGGUGAAAAGUGCAAACUUAGAAUUUGAACUUUGUUACAUCUUAUAAAUAGAAUUACAUAAAGAGGAGUCUUCUUAUUUUUUUUUUUUCUAAGAUGUUAAUUAGAAACUUAGAAAAGAAAACUCCUAUUAUGUCUAGUUUAUGUAAUUCUAUUUAUAAAACCCCCAAAAAAAAAAAGAGAAGUAGUAGAAACUAGAAAAGAAAAAAAGAAAAAAAGGACGUAGACAAUAGUGAUGGUACAAAACUACAAAUAUCUGAAAAGAAUAUUAAUCGAAUGGAUUGAAGUCUCAAGACUAAAUGACAAAAGAAAAUAUCAUAUAUAUGAGAACCAAAAAGCAACAUUCAACUAGGGGAAAAAAAUCAUACAAGAUAGUUGUUAAUCGAACAUUCUUUUCCUUCAAAUUUCACACAAUUUAAACAUCGAGGAAUAUCAAUUUAAACCGAAUUUGAUAUAGAUACGCGAAUUCGCAACCUUUCUAAGUAAAAUUCAUACAAAAUAAUUUAAUUGAACAUUCUUUUGCUUCUAAAACUUAACACAAGAUAGCCAAUCUAAUUUAAAAUGAAAAAUGAAUGGUGUUGAUUAAUAAAACUAAAGUUAUAUAUAUUUGGGUGGAUCGUACGUACACAUACGUAUAUAAUGUACACACACACACAAGUCAAGAAGACCGAAUCUGGCGUGGGUUCAACUAUAUAUACAUGUGGACCCUGCCACACCAAUAGCCACCAUCACCAUCAACCAACCCCAAGUACUCCAAACCCCAUUCUCAUUUCAAAUUCCACACCAUUACGCGUCAUGUUUGUCUAAAUGUUUAUACAUUUAUUCUCUAUACGCGUACGAAAAUGUACAAGGAAGGAAACUACACCAAACCAUUGCUAGUAAAGACAACAUUAUUGGGGAUAUAUUAGGGGACUAAAAUACCUCGAUUUUUGCAAAGAAAAUAUAUAAGACACUUUUUUUGCAAAAAUCGAGGUAUCUUAGUUGGUCUAAAAAUGUCCAAUAAGAUACUCCCAAUAAUGUUGGUAUAAAAACGCUUAACAUAUUAAAAUACGAAAAGAAACAUAUAUACAAAUUGUCUUACGAAAAUAAAGUGGUAUAGCUUAGUGGUAAUAUAAAGAAAUUGGUUAUUUGAAAACAUUUUAUGGAGUGGUUUUUAUUUUAGAAUAUUUUACAUUUGAUUUUGGGUGAUUAGUUAGCAAGAUUUUAUGUAUGGAUCGACGGAAGCUUUGAAAUUUCUAGAUUUGCUAUUAAUACAAAUGUCUAUCAAAGGUAAAAGGAAUCGGAUGCGGCGUGGCUGUUCAAAUUAUACGGUCCUCGUUGGUGGUCAAUUAGAUAGAGGACACACAACACUGAGGAUGUUGAUUGAUUCAUUCUUUUUUGUAAUCUUGUUUUAUGUCUUUUUCUUUUAUUUUUGCUGUUAUAGUUUAUCUAACGUCAUAUAUACAAACAAUUAGUGCAUGUAUAUGGUAUAACGUAACAUGACUUAGUGGUCUCGUUAUUUAUGAUCUUUUGUUUUCUUAGAAGUACUCCACCAUAAAAAUACAUUGAUUCUUAUAUGUUUCAUCAUUUACUAAGGUCUCAUUUGAUUUAGUUUAUGUUUGAGCUCCGUAAAUUUUUGUUCUAUCAAUGAUUGAAUGAAUAUAUUGUGCUCUAUGAUCACGUAGUGCUAAAAAAAAUUGUUAAUUGGAUAAACUAGAGACGAGUGAAGUUUAGGUUUGUAAUAAUAUAAAGAUGUUUCUCUUUUUAGAGAUAGACAACUAGUUGAUCUAAACACAUUGGAUUAGUGGCUUGCAUGUGCUCUGCGAUGAGCAUAAUAAUUCUAUCAAUCCAAAGUGGUGACAUGAGAUAGGUAUUAGCCACAUCUUUUAAUCAAUACAUAUAUACAUUUCUGAAUUAUCAUUCAUAUAAAAAACAUGAGGUGUCAAUUUCUACGAACCUUUAUUGCUGACAUAAAAAAAGUACAAAACCCUAUUAUUUUGUUUACAAAAGAAAAAUUUGGAAUUCUGAUUAGAAAAAUAUAAAGAAUUGACAAGAAAUGCCAAAGCCAACGAACAGAAAUUCCUAAAUGUCAGAAUAUUAAAAAUUAUUGAUAACUUCCAAUGAGACAACUCUUAUUAUCAUAUCAGUUAGUAACAAGAGUAGAGAGAAUAUUUGCAUACUCUGACAUCAAUUUGGAUAGAUACAAUUCGACAAGCAUCAUGUUGGGGAGUUCAGAGUGACUUCAGCAAACGAUGAAGCCGCAACUAACUCAAUUCGUAACCAUGUGAAGUGGGAUUGUAUUUGUCAGUUGAGAGAUGAUGAUGAUGAUGAUGAUGAUGAUGAUGAUGAUGAUAUAUGCUUCUUUCUUUUUUCGAAUUUGAAACAUCAUGACCAUAAUCUUUUCUAGACAUAGUUUUCAAUUUUCUGAAUUUGUGAAAGUUUGAUUUGGUUUUUUUUUUUUUUUUUUUUUAACUUCUUAUAUAGUUGAUAGAUGGACAUGU
rnacentral:lncRNA from 1 species